rnacentral:lncRNA from 1 species
GUUGAUUCAAACUGAGACACGAAACAAACACAAUUCCUGGUUUCAUUUUCAACCCCCGAACACCAAUACAUUCAUUCAUCGUUGCUUAGAAGAUGCCCCGGUACGAUGUCGCACCAUCAAUCAAGGAAAGAUUGCCAGGAGAUGGAGAUAUCCCAGUACAAGACAUUGGUGUUGGUCGCGUCAAGCUGGGCAGCAGAAUCCUCCUCUAGUUUGUUUGUUUGUUUGGCCGUUUGUGUGUUUGUCUGUUUACCAACCCGCCAAAUAAAGAAAAAGUACUAGAUCUAUUGAUAGAUAGAUAGAUAGGAUUACAAUAACUAGUGCGAUCUAGUCUAUAUAAUUAGUUAAGCUACUCUUAAUUUCAUCUCCAUUCCAUGCACCAACCCGGCUUCUUGGUCAGCAACCACACAUCCUGUGUAUAUGGAUAAAAACAGAGUGAGUACAUACAUUUCAGGNNNNNNNNNNNNNNNNNNNNNNNNNNNNNNNNNNNNNNNNNNNNNNNNNNNNNNNNNNNNNNNNNNNNNNNNNNNNNNNNNNNNNNNNNNNNNNNNNNNNAAGGAUGGCCGAUGCCCCCGACCCUCUGGAACCCCUGGAGCCAGAUCCCGUAACAGGUAAAGCACAUGUACCAACUUUUUCUAGUAUUUGCAUUGCGCUGCCGCGCCGUCCAUCACCGGCCGCGGCCGGCCACCAACAGCGUGCCGUAGCCGAGCGAUGGCAAAGAGAUGCAGGGCAGGGGACAAGGGGUGAGGUCGACGCCACGAGGGAGCGCAAGAUCGACAUGUGGUGGUGAACCGGCCGGCCAGCCGAUGGCCGACUGGUGCCCUUCACGGCAUUGUCUCCUUUUCGAUGCUGCGGCGCCGGCCAUUGGUGGCCGAUUACCUAAGGUUUUGGUCUUUACGACCCCGAACAUUAGCAAUCGCUUGCCGCCGGUCGGCCAUUGGUGGCGGAUUACCUAAGGUUUUGGUCUUUACGACCCCGAACAUUAGCAAUCGCUCGCCGGCGGCAAUUUUCUUACUUUAAAGCUGACGCCUUUACGACCCCGGACAUCAGCAACUGCUCGCAGCCGGCCGGUCUCUCUCAUAGCCACCGCGCGCCGAGUUAAGUGACGUUUGCACCGAGCAUCAUGUCAAGUCGGCCGUCUACAUAGCAGCAAAGGGCCUUGAUCUAGGCAAAGGCCCAUGCCCAACAGCAGGAUUAGCGAGGGUGAGGGGGAGANNNNNNNNNNNNNNNNNNNNNNNNNNNNNNNNNNNNNNNNNNNNNNNNNNNNNNNNNNNNNNNNNNNNNNNNNNNNNNNNNNNNNNNNNNNNNNNNNNNNUAGCUAACUAGCAUCAUGAACCCUAAGCAUGAACAUCAAACACAACACCUAUCUAGCUAACCAACACGAUACACACAUUGUUGCGCAUGACCACUAAACAUGAACAUCAAACCCAACACAUAUCUACCAUGCCCAUGAACACAGUGCACAUCAUGAGCACUAAGCACUAAGCCCUAAGUAGUAUGCACUACACAUGAACAUGAAACACACAACAAUCUUGCAUGCCUAUGAACAAUGCUCUCGUGCUGAUACGUCUCCAACGUACCUAUAAUUUUUUAUUGUUCCAUGCCAUUAUAUUAUAAAUCUUACAUGCAUUAUAUGUAUUUAUAUGCUGUUUUAUAUAAUUUUUUAGAACUAAACUAUUAACUCAGUGCCAAGUGUCAGUUGUUGUUUUCUGCGUGUUUUUGGCUUUUCAAGAAACCACUACCAAACGGAGUCCAAACUCUAUGAUUUUUUGGCGAUUUUUUCUUGAGAAAAGAGGACCUGGAAGANUUCGGAAGGAGGCCAGAAGCUGCACGAGGAGACGACAAGGCAACAGGCCGCACCUUGUUACCUUGUGGGCCCCUCGUGGCUCCGUCUGACCUAAUUCCACGUCUAUAAAUUCUCAAAUAUUGGGAAACCAAUAGAGAGCCACCCGAAACACUUUUUUCGCCGCCGCAAGNNNNNNNNNNNNNNNNNNNNNNNNNNNNNNNNNNNNNNNNNNNNNNNNNNNNNNNNNNNNNNNNNNNNNNNNNNNNNNNNNNNNNNNNNNNNNNNNNNNNUCAACAACCUAUUGCAGUUAGGUAUGUAUCACCAUGUCAAACAUACAUGUACAAUAUCCUACUUACAGUCCGCUUAAUGCCACCCUCCAGGACAAUAGAGUAAAUCUACAAAGGAAAACAGAUGAAAUUAAACAUUUGGCUAUAUGUUGCACAUUCCAUUUUCACAACAUAAAAUCACAGUUAGUGGCUAUACAGUUUGUUGCAUUGUUACAAAGAUAUGGCAUGUGCCCCCAUUGAGUUCAGCACGUAGUAUUGGUUUGUGCACAUGGAAAUUGUUAGACUCAUAUACUUCCCUCACAGCAUCUUUGUAAGUUCUCUGAAAUAUUUGUGAAACCGUACGAAACACGCAAAAUCACAAAAGCAUGUCAUCCGUGCUCUAUUGCACAAACGUUUUGAUGUAGUAGGAUGCUAACAUUUCCUUUAUAGACAAGCCUCCAGAUCUGAAAAUAGAGGAGAUCUAUGUCCUUGAGGGACGCAUCCAUUUUCAGCUCCGUAAUGUACUCCUGAAUNCAAAUGGACCAGAUUGUGAGUACCACCAGCAAAUAACACCACCUCAAUUAGCAGAAGACAACAUAUCCUACAUCAUAAGCAUAACCAGCUAAAUCUUCAGUCAUAUGAGGAAUGCCGGUUGCAAUCCUCAAUGCUUGCCUCCAUGCUCUAGUAUCCCAUUUUAUCCACUGAAGUGAAAAGAAGUUAAUGAUCAUGUGUAUGUAUAUGACUAAUUUUGUAAUUUUCUGUGGGGCAUACUUACAUCCUUNNNNNNNNNNNNNNNNNNNNNNNNNNNNNNNNNNNNNNNNNNNNNNNNNNNNNNNNNNNNNNNNNNNNNNNNNNNNNNNNNNNNNNNNNNNNNNNNNNNNGAUGGAACAAACAAGGCGUGGACAGGGGAGAAGAGGCGCCGCAAGCACCUGCCCCCAUCUCCUGCCACUGCCCACGACCACGCGGCAGACAUGGAGGAUGCCAUCCAAGGGCACCAAGGUUCGAUUUCUCAUGCGACAGACAUGGAGCUGCUGCUCAGAACAGAUUCGGCAGAAGGAGAAAGAUACGGGCCGGACGUCCUUAUCAGCGAGGAAGGCCAUGGAGACAUGGAGGACACCAUCCAAGGGGGUCAAGAUCCGAUUCCUCAUGCGACACCUAUGGAGGGCACCAUCCAAGGGGGGCAAGAUCAGAUUUCUCAUGAGACAGACAUGGAGGACACUUUCCAAGCGGGCCAAGAUUAUGAUCUUCUGCUGAACACAGAGCCGGCACAAGAAGAAAGCGAGCAGCGUUUCGGGCUGCACUUCCUUAUCAGCGAGGAAGACCGUGCCAAGUAUUCUCAACUUUUUCUUGCCAAUAUUCAGACGGAGGACGAUUAUCCUACUGACCUGCCACUUUAUAUGACAUGGGAGGAACACCACAAGAUAGAAGCGCGCCUUGCACGCUAUCGCAUCGCUCAUUACAAGGUACCUACAUGCCCUAUCAAUCAGUCACCGUGCAUCUUAAACUUUAUAUCUGUGUGCCAUAGUAGCUGAUUCAGUCUUCUGGUUUGGUUUGCGUGGGUGAUUUUAUCUCGUGUUUUUAUCAUCUGUGUGUAGGUUGUAAAUCCAGAGCGCGCACGUGAACUCAAGGAACUAGAAGAAUACACUGAUGAGGAACUUCUCCGCGAGUCAUACUUUGAGGCAUUAGAGAAUGAUGAAAAUUUUGAGUGGUACAUCCNNNNNNNNNNNNNNNNNNNNNNNNNNNNNNNNNNNNNNNNNNNNNNNNNNNNNNNNNNNNNNNNNNNNNNNNNNNNNNNNNNNNNNNNNNNNNNNNNNNNAAUUGUAUAUCCACUGAGAACGCAUUUGGUUGCCUCGACUGAAUAGUAUCUGCAUUUCAUGCACAUCUCAAGCCAGUCUGGUUUAACAAAAGCAGGCAAUAAACCAACAUCUGCAUGUUGUUUGGUUGCCUGCAUUGCGUCAAAGGCCACUUUAGACUGGCUGUUUGGUUGCUCGCAUUUGUGCUUAAAGGGUGAGCGGAUGCAAACCACACCUGUUUGGUUGGAUACACGUUUGUGUUCUGCUCACCACAUUCAAAUGUGAUGGUCUUCCCACCACAUUAUGCAUAAAAACAGGUAUAACACUAAAGUAGGAGGUAAACAACAGCUAAUAGCAGAUAAACAAGCAACUAAAUAGUCAUACUGCUAAACAAGAUUAGGUUUAAAGAUAGUAGGAGCAUCCCAUGCCCCCUGCGUGAACACGAGGUGCCGAACCCUAGAAAAAAUAUGAACAAGUUCCCAGCAAGUUCUCCCAUCACCGCAAACUAACUACAAGUUCAUCCUAACAUGUGCAGAGGGCGAAAGAAAGGUCACCGAUGUAGAUGUGCCUGCUGUAGCACACCUUGCACCCGAUGAAGCUGUCGUGGUUGUAUAUUUGAACCUUGAGUCAGAGGCCGAAAAUUCGCAGCAUGAUGAAGUCACCGGGGACGAUCCUAUGGUGAUGGCAGAAGUACUGCCGGCCCGGCCAAGCACCAUUUGACCGUCGAAGUUCUGGACCUAAACCCAGAACUCGCACCACUUGUUUGCCGAGAGCCUGCCCACACGCGGGAGCCUGACCGUUAGCCACUCCUUCAUCACCUCCACGAACAUGGGAGGGAUGACGAGCAUGGCAGGAUCCUCUUCGUCUCUGAUUUGCAUGUAGAAUCGAAGGUGCUCUCGGGACCCCUCCUCAUGGCCAGUCCUAGGAGCUCNNNNNNNNNNNNNNNNNNNNNNNNNNNNNNNNNNNNNNNNNNNNNNNNNNNNNNNNNNNNNNNNNNNNNNNNNNNNNNNNNNNNNNNNNNNNNNNNNNNNGCGAUGGUUAAGAGCACAAUUAACUAGUGAAUGGUGCUAGCCGCCGGUUGAGAUUUUUUUUUCAAAAAGGAGGCAAAGCCCCGGCCUCUGCAUCGAACGAUGCAUGCAGCCAUAUAUUAAAAUCAAAAGCAAGUCUCAGCAAAGUACGUGAAAGGUCUAGCAAAAAGUGAAUGAAAAGAUACAAGGCGUCUGUCGCGCCCAAACCGGAGAUGAUAAUAGACCUAGAUGACUAAGCACCUAUCCUAUUAAUAUGUCGUCAUCCAAACCGGUUGAAGAUACUCUGUGCUACCAUCUCUCAACGGACACACCCAGUAAACAUAGGCUCCCUGGCUUCCACAGAAGUGAGUAAUGACCACGUGUUGAUCAGUGUGGUAGCCCUGAAAAUAACCUACAAGAAGUGGAUAUCGCGUUGUCUGUUAAACACUAAGUCAUUUCUGCAAUUCCAUAGAGCCCACGAUAGUGCAUAUGAUCCCACACGAAUAAGUUUAGCAGUUUAAACAGUAACCCCCUGUAACCACAUCCCAAAUAACGUGUUGAUACUAUUAGAAAAACUAAUGUUGAAGCCGCCGGUCGAGAUGGUCAUGAGAAAAAUGCUCGUCCUCCACACAACAAGACCUGACUUGAACAAUUAAUUGUAAAAUGUUUGAUGGUGCAAAAAAGAGACCCACGUGCACAUUUUUUUGUGCAUCUGAAACAUAUUGUUGCAACAUUUAUUUCCUAGUUUCUAUGAAAAGAGCAUAAAAACAUUUUAGCGCGUCCAUCUCGAUCCUCGGGUUAGCUACCAACAAAAUCUCUUUGUUAAAGCCCUGUAGCCACCAAGUCUUGCGAGCGAAAGCACAUUGAUGCAAAUCCACCAUCUUCCUUGAGCUUGGCAAAUCAAAGAACAAUAGUUUUGUGUUCCAACUCGUAUUCCAUCGAGAGUUGGUGGCAACAAGGGUNNNNNNNNNNNNNNNNNNNNNNNNNNNNNNNNNNNNNNNNNNNNNNNNNNNNNNNNNNNNNNNNNNNNNNNNNNNNNNNNNNNNNNNNNNNNNNNNNNNNACUAAACUAUUAACUCAGUGCCAAGUGUCAGUUGUUGUUUUCUGCGUGUUUUUGGCUUUUCAAGAAACCACUACCAAACGGAGUCCAAACUCUAUGAUUUUUUGGCGAUUUUUUCUUGAGAAAAGAGGACCUGGAAGAUUCGGAAGGAGGCCAGAAGCUGCACGAGGAGACGACAAGGCAACAGGCCGCACCUUGUUACCUUGUGGGCCCCUCGUGGCUCCGUCUGACCUAAUUCCUCGUCUAUAAAUUCUCAAAUAUUGGGAAACCAAUAGAGAGCCACCCGAAACACUUUUUUCGCCGCCGCAAGCCUACAUUCCAUCGUGAUCCCAUGUGGAGCCCUAUUCUGGUGUCCUACUGAAGGGGGGGGGGACAAUCACGGAGGGCAUGUACAUACACCUUGCUGCUCCCAUGAUGUUACGUGAGUAGUCAACCACAGACCUACGGGUCCAUAACUAGUACCUAGAUGGCUUAUUCUCUCUCAUUGAUCUUUAAUACGACGUUCACCGUGAUUCCCACAGUGAUCUAUUCGAUGUAAUCUUAUUUGUAGUGUGUUUGUUGGGAUCCGUUGAAUUGUGGGUUUAUUAUCGUAUUAUUCAUGAAUAUUAACCGAGUCUUCUCUAAAUUCUUAUAUGCAUGAUUAUUAUAGCUUUAUAUUUCUCUCUGAUCUAUCGGUUUGGUUUGGCCAACUAGAUUGAUUUGUCUUUAGUGGGAGUGAUGGGUUGUGAUGUGUUCAAUCUUGCAGUGCUCAAUCCUAGUGACAAAAAGGGACAUGACAUGUAUUUGUAUUGCUGACAUUAAGGAUAAAACGAUGGGUUUUAUUCAUAUUACUUGAGUUUACUUUGUCUACAUGGUGUCAUCUUUCCCCAAGCAUUACUCUGUUUCAUACUUAAUACCCUAGAUGCUUGCUGGAUAGCGGUCAAUGAGUGGAGUAAUAGUAGCAGAUGCAGGCAGUAGUCGGUCUACUUUCAUAAAGGCGUGAUGCCUAUAUACAUGAUCAUUGCCUUGAAAUAAGAUGUCAUAACUAUGCGCUAUUUUGUCAAUUGCCCAAGAGUAAUCUGUCUAUCCAUCGUAUGCUAUCUUCAAGAGAGAAGCCUCUAGGGAAAACUAUGACCCCGGGUCUACUCAAAUUAUAUUAUAAAAACUACAAAAUAUUGCUGCCAUUUAUUUUCUUUAUAUACUUCUAUAUUUAUAUUAUCUAUCUAUCAGUAUUUAAUCCUUGCGAGUAACGAGUUCAAGGGGCUUAAGAACCCUCUUGCCCGUGUUGUGUGCAAGUGUUUGGUUCUAUGUUUGCACGUGCUGACAUUGAGAGUUUUCUUAAUACUCUGAUUUGUUUGGUAACCUUGCUUAUCACCGAGGUAAAUACUUAUAUCUACUAUGCUGCAUCUCGUUUCCUCUUCGGAAAAAAUCGAACGCAGUUUACAAGCAGCCGGAAGAAUUUCGAGCACUGUUAGUACGGAGUAUCAUCAAAUUCUUAUCAUGUUCCUUCACACACAUUAUCAUUCAAUUGUUCUAAUUUUUAUUUGCCUUUAUAUUUGCUUGCUUAAAAUUAUCAAAAACACAAAAAUAUUUAUCUUUGCUAGUUUACUUGCUUGCUUGUNNNNNNNNNNNNNNNNNNNNNNNNNNNNNNNNNNNNNNNNNNNNNNNNNNNNNNNNNNNNNNNNNNNNNNNNNNNNNNNNNNNNNNNNNNNNNNNNNNNNAGAGUGAGUCCGAGCGUUUGACCCGGAAAUGACACGCUAGGUUGGGUGGCGUUUUUUGUCCGGGCAUUGACCAGACAGCCCGUUCGGGUGCUUGGGGCAUGUAUAGGGGUUCGGUUGUAGAUGUUCUUACCUCCUUGCUAAAAGUUACUAAAAAUUAAUAGAUAUGUGAACAUGCCUCUUAUUUACAUCUGUAAUAUCAAAUAUUUAUUUUAUAGGCAUAUUUGGAAAAGCUAAAGAUGAAUAAAUACGUAAAACUACACACACGUAAAUGAGAAAAAAACAUUGUAGGAGAUAGGCAAUAGGUCAUUUCUGUUCGGUCGUUCAUCAUCGUCCGCCCAGGAUGGAUGUCGUCACCCUUGUUGCCACCAACUCUCGAUGGAAUACGAGUUGGAACACAAAACUAUUGUUCUUUGAUUUGCCAAACUCAAGGAAGAUGGUGGAUUUGCAUCAAUGUGCUUUCGCUCGCAAGACUUGGUGGCUACAGGGCUUUAACAAAGAGAUUUUGUUGGUAGCUAACCCGAGGAUCGAGAUGGACGCGCUAAAAUGUUUUUAUGCUCUUUUCAUAGAAACUAGGAAAUAAAUGUUGCAACAAUAUGUUUCAGAUGCACAAAAAAAUGUGCACGUGGGUCUCUUUUUUGCACCAUCAAACAUUUUACAAUUAAUUGUUCAAGUCAGGUCUUGUUGUGUGGAGGACGAGCAUUUUUCUCAUGACCAUCUCGACCGGCGGCUUCAACAUUAGUUUUUCUAAUAGUAUCAACACGUUAUUUGGGAUGUGGUUACAGGGGGUUACUGUUCAAACUGCUAAACUUAUUCGUGUGGGAUCAUAUGCACUAUCGUGGGUUCUAUGGAAUUGCAGAAAUGACUUAGUGUUUAACAAACAACGCGAUAUCCACUUCUUGUAGGUUAUUUUCAGGGCUACCACACUGAUCAACACGUGGUCAUUACUCACUUCUGUGGAAGCCAGGGAGCCUAUGCUUACUGGGUGUGUCCGUUGAGAGAUGGUAGCACAGAGUAUCUUCAACCGGUUUGGAUGACGACAUAUUAAUAGGAUAGGUGCUUAGUCAUCUAGGUCUAUUAUCAUCUCCGGUUUGGGCGCGACAGACGCCUUGUAUCUUUUCAUUCACUUUUUGCUAGACCUUUCACGUACUUUGCUGAGACUUGCUUUUGAUUUUAAUAUAUGGCUGCAUGCAUCGUUCGAUGCAGAGGCCGGGGCUUUGCCUCCUUUUUGAAAAAAAAAUCUCAACCGGCGGCUAGCACCAUUCACUAGUUAAUUGUGCUCUUAACCAUCGCAGAGGGUGAGAUGGCAUUUGUUUUUUACGUUUGCCACACACUUGUCAUGGUGAUUGUGGUACUCUCUUUGGNNNNNNNNNNNNNNNNNNNNNNNNNNNNNNNNNNNNNNNNNNNNNNNNNNNNNNNNNNNNNNNNNNNNNNNNNNNNNNNNNNNNNNNNNNNNNNNNNNNNCCCUCUCUUUUCCACUACAAGAAAUGUGCAGGAACUGUAAAAAAAGAAAUAUAGAUUGUGGCAAUGCUACAAAAUGUAAUGUACUCGUACACGGUUUGGUGCUAAAACAUGUAAAUGCCCAAAGCUAAGUUACAGAGCCUGCUGCAAGCCAGGCUACCAUCAAAAUGACCAUAUGUGUCCUAACAAAAAGACCAAAAUGCACAUGUUUUGAAUAGCUAGCACAAUAUUCAUCGUUUAGGUUGAACCAAUAUAAUUAUUUUGCGUAGCACAAAAUAUUAAGGCAUACAUCUUAUAGUUGUUCUUAACAACCAUGCUUGUUUCAAACAUAAAUUCAUGACCUUUUAUAACAAGGUGCACAUGAUUAAAUUGUUUCAUCAUAUAUCUGUUCAAAAACUGAAAACCAACUUUUUAUGUCAAUUUUAAUGUGUAGUGAAAUCAGUGCCAAACAUCCACGCAUAUAAAGUUUUCCUGUUUUAAGAAGACACCUACCAUUAAGUAUCAACACCUGUAGCUUAGGUAUAUCACCAGAAAGCCGCUUGAUAUACAAGUCUUCCAUUGAAAGAUCCGUGGGACACUUUUUCUGGGCAAUUAUGCUUUGCACAAGACCUACAAGUUGGCUACAUAGGGCAACAACAAGAAAUUUAACAACUGUGUAGAAAACGGAAGGCAUAUAUAGCAGAGUUUAAGGCAAAACUCACCUGAGCAUAUUUCUUACGAUAGGGCGCAUAUCGCCUUCAUCGAACAGUUCUAUGCUUUUCUUGGUAUCCAGCCAUUUGUCCAAUGAGCCAUCCACUGCAGAAACGACCACACACUCUGAAUGGAAGUAAUUUUCCACUUGCAUAGCUGCUGGAUGUUGCAAAGCACUGACAAAAUGGUAGUUCAUAGCCCAAUCCUUUGAAUUUCUGACCCCCCUCUUGACAAAUCUUGUUAAUUUCAAUGUACCAACUUGGUAAUUGCACUUCUGGAACUCCAUUUUCGUGCCAUCAAAAUCAAGGACCUCAUCAUUAUCACAGGGUUGUAGUGUAACGUUGCCUUUGAUUGUCCCCAGAAAACGGUAGCAAUCCCUAAUGGCUUGAACUGUUGGAAACAAAGUGAAUUGUCAAUUAGGAACUCAAUUAUGGAAGACUACUGCAAGUCUGCAACAAACAAACAAACAACACUUAGAUCUUGGGNNNNNNNNNNNNNNNNNNNNNNNNNNNNNNNNNNNNNNNNNNNNNNNNNNNNNNNNNNNNNNNNNNNNNNNNNNNNNNNNNNNNNNNNNNNNNNNNNNNNAAUGACACGCUAGGUUGGGUGGCGUUUUUUGUCCGGGCAUUGACCAGACAGCCCGUUCGGGUGUUUGGGGCAUGUAUAGGGGUUCGGUUGUAGAUGUUCUUACCUCCUUGCUAAAAAUUACUAAAAAAUAAUAGAUAUGUGAACAUGCCUCUUAUUUACAUCUGUAAUAUCAAAUAUUUAUUUUAUAGGCAUAUUUGGAAAAGCUAAAGAUGAAUAAAUACGUAAAACUACACACACGUAAAUGAGAAAAAAACAUUGUAGGAGAUAGGCAAUAGGUCAUUUCUGUUCGGUCGUUCAUCAUCGUCCGCCCAGGAUGGAUGUCGUCACCCUUGUUGCCACCAACUCUCGAUGGAAUACGAGUUGGAACACAAAACUAUUGUUCUUUGAUUUGCCAAGCUCAAGGAAGAUGGUGGAUUUGCAUCAAUGUGCUUUCGCUCGCAAGACUUGGUGGCUACAGGGCUUUAACAAAGAGAUUUUGUUGGUAGCUAACCCGAGGAUCGAGAUGGACGCGCUAAAAUGUUUUUAUGCUCUUUUCAUAGAAACUAGGAAAUAAAUGUUGCAACAAUAUGUUUCAGAUGCACAAAAAAAUGUGCACGUGGGUCUCUUUUUUGCACCAUCAAACAUUUUACAAUUAAUUGUUCAAGUCAGGUCUUGUUGUGUGGAGGACGAGCAUUUUUCUCAUGACCAUCUCGACCGGCGGCUUCAACAUUAGUUUUUCUAAUAGUAUCAACACGUUAUUUGGGAUGUGGUUACAGGGGGUUACUGUUCAAACUGCUAAACUUAUUCGUGUGGGAUCAUAUGCACUAUCGUGGGCUCUAUGGAAUUGCAGAAAUGACUUAGUGUUUAACAAACAACGCGAUAUCCACUUCUUGUAGGUUAUUUUCAGGGCUACCACACUGAUCAACACGUGGUCAUUACUCACUUCUGUGGAAGCCAGGGAGCCUAUGGUUACUGGGUGUGUCCGUUGAGAGAUGGUAGCACAGAGUAUCUUCAACCGGUUUGGAUGACGACAUAUUAAUAGGAUAGGUGCUUAGUCAUCUAGGUCUAUUAUCAUCUCCGGUUUGGGCGCGACAGACGCCUUGUAUCUUUUCAUUCACUUUUUGCUAGACCUUUCACGUACUUUGCUGAGACUUGCUUUUGAUUUUAAUAUAUGGCUGCAUGCAUCGUUCGAUGCAGAGGCCGGGGCUUUGCCUCCUUUUUGAAAAAAAAAUCUCAACCGGCGGCUAGCACCAUUCACUAGUUAAUUGUGCUCUUAACCAUCGCAGAGGGUGAGAUGGCAUUUGUUUUUUACGUUUGCCACACACUUGUCAUGGUGAUUGUGGUACUCUCUUUGGAUGACCGUGGUGACAUUGGGAAAUCCAUAGAUGAGAACUAUGAACUUCGAGGUGUGCUUUUGUAGUCCUACAUAAUUCUCGUCCUCUCUUGAUCACAAAGGAAUGAUCUCCAAGUACGUCUCCAUUUCAUGUUUUAGUGGAAAUAUCAUGUGAUUAGAUUAUGUUAAUGUUGUUGGAAGUUGCCACUAGUGAAAGUAUGAAGCCUAGGCCUUAUUUUCCACCACUGAACACCGUUUACUUUCAGUUUUGUUUCAUGUUUUCUUGCUUUCAUUUUUAUUUCAGAUUUAUAUUACCUUGUUUUACCAUCCAUAUCACUUGUCUUUUAACAUAUCUUCGUCGAACUAGUGCACCUAUACAACUGACAAUUGUAUUAGGUGUGUUGGGGACACAAGAGACUUCUUGUAUCUUAAUUGCAGGGUUGCUUGAGAGAGAUCAUCUUCAACCUCUACUUUCCCGAGUUCGAUAAACCUUAGGUCAUCCACUUGAGAGAAAUUGGUGUUGUCCUACAACCCUCUGCGCUUGGAGGCCCAACAUAAUCUACAAGAAUAGAAGCGUCCGUAGACAUCAGGAUGAAACCCUCUGAUUUAUAUAGACACCAGGGGUCCCUGGUUACAUACAACCGACCUUAGCCAGGGGUAAUUGUGCCAAUCUAGCCUACACAACUUGGAUGACAUGUGAGUCUUUGGAGCUUUCCUACUUGUUUACGAUAUCGUCAUGUAGUCCGAUCUUAAAUAAUGCGGCCCAUUAGGUCGGCCCACGAACAACAGCCCGACCGCCCGAGGACCCCUUAAUCCCGGAUUCCCUCACUCACGAAGGCAGCUGCUCGUCCAUCCCCACUAUAAACCAAGGCCCGGGUACCUAUAAAAAACAAAUCUGUUUGUCUAAGGGUUAUAUAAUUCAAGAACGGCUAUAAAUUGGAAAAUGUUAAUUCAAAAUAAAUCAAAGUUCCUCUUUCCUAAAAAACAGCUUUGCAAUAUCAAAUUAAUUACAGUUUUCAUGAACAUGACUCAACUUGCGAACAGAUCACUUGUUCCUCUGUCAUCAAGAUGUCACUUGUUUGUGUACAUUAUAAUUAUUAUUUGACUCUUUAGUGUCAUCUUCUAUAAUCUGUAAAUGAUGUAUCAGUAAUGAAACAAUUCGAGGUUGUGCUGCUGUUGUAACUAGUAGAUGUUUCUGGGUAGUGAACUAAACUAAAUUGUUGCAUUUCACUUCUUAGACUUAUCUCACUUGUUAUUGAAUUUCCAACUAGUAAAUUUGCAUGCUAGCCUCAUCAAAGAUACAUGAAUUGUUUGUAAAACGUAGUGUUACUGUACUUAUGUUGUAAUUUAGUACAUCAGAUGAUAUGUAAAAUAGCUCUUGUGACAUCAAGGUUCAAAGAGAGAUGCAGUUUAAGUUGUCUGGUGAGCACACGCACACACAACAACCCAUAGAAAACCUGUAGUGGUGCAUUUUAAUCAAUCUAUUCAGAUGCCAUUUUCUUUUCUACUUUUCUACUAAGAUCGUUGCUGUCGAAAGGAAAAGUUGAACACACAACCAUGAGUACGUGUCCUAAAAAUCAGAAUACAACAAUUAUAAGUCAUGAGGAGAAAAAUCCAUCAAUGUGUACACGAAAACUGUUGUCCCCGUUCCAUGAUUAAGCAAAUCAGAAACUCUCUCCAACCCCCAAUCAACCAAAGACCGAGGAUGAUUUGCAUUCGUUCAACUUACUGUUUACAAUGCACAACCAUAUUAGACUACAAGCUGCAGACCAGAUCUUGUUAUCAUGUAAACAACUCACAUCUGCAUAGCCCCAAGCAAGCAUAUUAGCAAGAACUCCGUCCAAGCAAGCACACCCAUGAUCAGACCGACGACUAAAACCCUAGACAAAGGGUAGGGGGGAUGAGGUGGAACCAGUCCUUACGGGCGAAAAUUCCAGGCUGCCGGAAGGAUUUGGACGUCCGAGGCAUCAGGGGCUGAGGCGGCGUGUACGGCGGAGGGAAUGACGUGGAUGGCAGGUGGCAAGAGCCAAGAAGCCCCGGGACCCGAGGCAGGACCCACAGAUGGUCUGGCUCGGUUUGGACGGGAGUCGACGAAGACGGCGAGCCGCCGACGAACUUCUGGCCAAAGGGCGGAGGGCGGAGGAGGCUACGCCGUCAUAGUCGAGGAGAAAUUUCGCGCGGGAAGGGGAGGGUCUCCUCACACGCGAGUAUUAGGAGGGUUCGGGUUGUAAUUUUUGGGAUGAAGGGUUCGGGAUGGACCGGUCCAAUACGGGGAUACCGAAUGGGCCAGGGAAUUUUCGGAAUUUCUAUACCGGGUGGUAAAAUACUCGUUGAAACACGCAAAUACUGAACGAGGCCUCAAUGUGCAGCAAAUUAACGUUGGCCUGCCACCGAGUGCCCCAAACAAACAAGAGCCCGCACGCUCUGCUUCCCCCUUCCAUCUCUCGACAAGUGUCUACCCAGGGUUUCACCGCCGUCUCCUCCCACCGCCGCCGCCGCCUCCCGCGGCCGUAUCCUUCCUUGGAUCGACAUGCAGGGCGACGAUGGAACAAACAAGGCGUGGACAGGGGAGAAGAGGCGCCGCAAGCACCUGCCCCCAUCUCCUGCCACUGCCCACGACCACGCGGCAGACAUGGAGGAUGCCAUCCAAGGGCACCAAGGUUCGAUUUCUCAUGCGACAGACAUGGAGCUGCUGCUCAGAACAGAUUCGGCAGAAGGAGAAAGAUACGGGCCGGACGUCCUUAUCAGCGAGGAAGGCCAUGGAGACAUGGAGGACACCAUCCAAGGGGGUCAAGAUCCGAUUCCUCAUGCGACAGAUAUGGAGGGCACCAUCCAAGGGGGGCAAGAUCAGAUUUCUCAUGUGACAGACAUGGAGGACACAUUCCAAGCGGGCCAAGAUUAUGAUCUUCUGCUGAACACAGAGCCGGCACAAGAAGAAAGCGAGCAGCGUUUCGGGUUGCACUUCCUUAUCAGCGAGGAAGACCGUGCCAAGUAUUCUCAACUUUUUCUUGCCAAUAUUCAGACGGAGGACGAUUAUCCUACUGACCUGCCACUUUAUAUGACAUGGGAGGAACACCACAAGAUAGAAGCGCGCCUUGCACGCUAUCGCAUCGCUCAUUACAAGGUACCUACAUGCCCUAUCAAUCAGUCACCGUGCAUCUUAAACUUUAUACCUGUGUGCCAUAGUAGCUGAUUCAGUCUUCUGGUUUGGUUUGCGUGGGUGAUUUUAUCUCGUGUUUUUAUCAUCUGUGUGUAGGUUGUAAAUCCAGAGCGCGCACGUGAACUCAAGGAACUAGAAGAAUACACUGAUGAGGAACUUCUCCGCGAGUCAUACUUUGAGGCAUUAGAGAAUGAUGAAAAUUUUGAGUGGUACAUCCAUCGUGAUGACAUCCAGAACAUUGAAUUGAAUGACUACCAACGGAUUGUUCCUCGCAAUUUUGUAAGUGUACUAUUUAUAUCUACAUUUGGUCAUCCGAUUGACUAGUUUCGUUAUCAUAACCAUGGGUGUUCAGAAACCAUUUCGAAACACACCGUGAAAACCGGCAAUCAGUGAGGUAGUUCAUUUUGCUUCAGUGGCUCCAACAACAGCUGCAACAUUAGUAUAGAAUAUUGAGCCAUGGGUUUAUGGUAUGAGUUAAAACUGUUUUCGACAGCUUAUUCUUAAUAGAGGAUGAUGAUGAUGAUGAUUGAGCCCUUGCUUUGUGGCUACUGAUGGAUGCUUAGUACUUGUGGUGUUGGAUUCGAAAAGGUGGCCAGUUUUUUGUGUUUAUUCAAACUUUGGGCAAGCCUUCCUGCUGAUUUUAAUGAGUGAUCCCUUAAAAUCAGUCGGUUCUUAGCCGUUUCAUAUGUAACCUUAACUCGGGACGAAAUGCUAGGAAGGGUAUCCCACUUAGUUCUUGAACCUCCUUGAUUGCCUUAGUUUUAAAGCUGAGGUUUAGCAUUAGAAGAUAAAAAUAUCAUGAUUUCUGUGACUGCGGGGAGCAGUCCCAGGUUCAAAGCUAUGUUACCUUAUAUGUUUUGACAAACAUUACUAUUUUCAAAUUUCUUAUCUCUUUGAUUUUGUGCCGUUAAAUUUGGCUGCUGAAGUUAGUUGACGUUUGAAUUGCUUCUGAAUUAUAUCACGACCGUGUCUCAGUGGAUUAACUUGUUAAAGGUCAUUUAGUUAUACAUUACUAUUUUUUAGCAAGCUAGACUAUACUAGAAGGAAAUAAUGUGGAUCUUUAGUCAGUUACUUCUAUAGACAGUAUGUCAUCUCACUACACUAUAGCCAUUAAGUAUCUGCACUUUUGUGCCUUUUCAGACGUGUCAUCUGAUUCUUGUCCCUUUCUUUUUCGUAGCUGCCUGGUACGAGUGGAAGCCUGUACGGCUAUCACGAUGAGUACCGCUCGCGUUAUCAUACAUAUAAAAUUGAUGAUGCUUAUGUCAAGUACUAUGCAGAAAUUUCAAAGAAAAUCAAGGUAUGCAUUAUGUGAUCAAGCUGUUGAAUGAAAAAUACUACGAGUGGCUGGAAUGUUUUUAAAGUGAUAGAUUUCUUCUUGUAACAGUGGAUUGCAGAUUAUUUGCAUCUGGAUCGCAGGACUAAGGAUGUAAGUAUGCCCCACAGAAAAUUACAAAAUUAGUCAUAUACAUACACAUGAUCAUUAACUUCUUUUCACUUCAGUGGAUAAAAUGGGAUACUAGAGCAUGGAGGCAAGCAUUGAGGAUUGCAACCGGCAUUCCUCAUAUGACUGAAGAUUUAGCUGGUUAUGCUUAUGAUGUAGGAUAUGUUGUCUUCUGCUAAUUGAGGUGGUGUUAUUUGCUGGUGGUACUCACAAUCUGGUCCAUUUGAUUCAGGAGUACAUUACGGAGCUGAAAAUGGAUGCGUCCCUCAAGGACAUAGAUCUCCUCUAUUUUCAGAUUUGGAGGCUUGUCUAUAAAGGAAAUGUUAGCAUCCUACUACAUCAAAACGUUUGUGCAAUAGAGCACGGCUGACAUGCUUUUGUGAUUUUGCGUGUUUCUUACGGUUUCACAAAUAUUUCAGAGAACUUACAAAGAUGCUGUGAGGGAUGUAUAUGAGUCUGACAAUUUCCAUGUGCACAAACCAAUACUACGUGCUGAACUCAAUGGGGGCGCAUGCCAUAUCUUUGUAACAAUGCAACAAACUGUAUAGCCACUAACUGUGAUUUUAUGUUGUGAAAAUGGAAUGUGCAACAUAUAGCCAAAUGUUUAAUUUCAUCUGUUUUCCUUUGUAGAUUUACUCUAUUGUCCUGGAGGGUGGCAUUAAGCGGACUGUAAGUAGGAUAUUGUACAUGUAUGUUUGACAUGGUGAUACAUACCUAACUGCAAUAGGUUGUUGACAUUGAUAAGACCUUUGUGUAGGAUGAAGAGGAAAAGGCUCGGGCUGUGUUUAAUGAGUUAUCUUUCACUAGGGUAUUGUCUCAAUGAAUCCUCUAUGAUUUUGUUUUAUUUUCGUUUUGAAAAAAAUUCUCUAUGAAUUUAUAUGUGGUCAUGAUUGUUGUUGUUAUAUAAUUGGAUCCCUUGUUUCAGCAUAAAUCAAUGAACAUGGCUGACUAUGCUAAGAAGAAGGUGGAGAUAGCAGAUCAGUUGAAGUUGGACAAAAAGGUAUGCUAAUAAAUGUAUUUAUUGUUAAAGUAAGGUUAAUUCUCUCCCGAGAUAAAAAAACCCAGUAACUUAUGUGCGUGCCACUUUGCAGGGUGGAUUUGUUCCCUUUAGACCCUACGAUUGAGCAAGGAAAAAACUAGAUUUGUCCCUUUUGGCCUGAAAUGAGCCGUUGUUUUCUCAUAUAACAGCAAGACGGAAGUAUUACGAAGAUUGUAUUACAUACAUAACUAGCCCAGCUCAGCAGUCUGACAUUGUGGAUGACGAUUGGCUCAUGUUUUUAAAUUAGUGGACAUCCCCUGUUGUAAUGUUAUGCACUAGUACGUAUGCGUGAUGCUUGGUUUGUUUUCUGUACUUGCCAUCAAUAAUAGUAAGAUAGUGGUCACAUAAUGAGCAGGUCUUUUUAGGACCUGUCUGAGUAGCAAUAUACUAGUAUUAUGCAAUGGAUGUAUGUUGGAGUGAAAGACUAUAUUUUGAUUGUGGUAAAAAAUAUGCUUAGCUGCAAACAUGAUUCAUGAUGUUUGACUCGACAGAGCGAAAGGAUCAAUCACUUGAUUCAUGUUGAAAAGUCACUUGCUGUCCCAAACAGCAAGCCAGCCAGGCAAGUACCAAAAUAGUACUUCCUCCAUCCCAAAAUUCUUGUCUUAGAUUUGUCUAGAUAUGAAUGUAUCUAGUCACGUUUUAGUAUUUUGAUACAUCCAUUUCUAAACCAACCUAAGACAAGAAUUUUGGGACGGAGGGAGUACUACCUUCCAUGCUUGAUCUACACGGUUUUAUAUUAGUUUACAGGGGGAGUAUCUUCCAUGCUUGAGAAAUGAGAAUGUGAGCUUUGAACAGAGGGAGUAUUCCUCCAUGCCUGUUUACCAAAUAGUACCUCUGAACGCAGCACACAAUGCUCAAGUGGUAGUAUAUGUAUGUAGACUUAGACAGCAGAACAAGCAUUGAAGUACUCUCUCCGUCCCAAAAUAUGUGUCGUGGCUGCUUUAGUUCAAAAAAUUUCAGUUCCAACUUCCAUAAGCGCCUAAUCGGAUCUCACCAGCAGUGUAGGUAGCUGUUACGCUGAAUAUCUCCCUCCCUACUUGUGCCCGUUGCGUUGGAACCUCAAGAGUGAGCAGGAGCAGGUGUUUGCGACAGACAGUUGCAGGUUGAUUCAAACUGAGACACGAAACAAACACAAUUCCUGGUUUCAUUUUCAACCCCCCAACACCAAUACAUUCAUUCAUCGUUCCUUAGAAGAUGCCCCGGUACGAUGUCGCACCAUCAAUCAAGGAAAGAUUGCCAGGAGAUGGAGAUAUCCCAGUACAAGACAUUGGUGUUGGUCGCGUCAAGCUGGGCAGCAGAAUCCUCCUCUAGUUUGUUUGUUUGGUCGUUUGUGUGUUUGUCUGUUUACCAGCCCGCUAAAUAAAGACAAAGUACUAGAUCUAUUGAUAGAUAGGAUUACAAUAACCAGUGCGAUCUAGUCUAUAUCAUUAGUUAAGCUACUCUUAAUUUCAUCUCCAUUCCAUGCACCAACUCGGCUUCUUGGUCAGCAACCACACNNNNNNNNNNNNNNNNNNNNNNNNNNNNNNNNNNNNNNNNNNNNNNNNNNNNNNNNNNNNNNNNNNNNNNNNNNNNNNNNNNNNNNNNNNNNNNNNNNNNCUCGUAAAUUUUCUACCGUAUCCCUGUGCAGACAUGGAUGCGGGAGACUGCCACCCAACCCACGAGCGGAAGCAGGUAGACACCAAGCCCCGAUCCACCUUAAAAAAAUGCAUGGAUUUGGGCCUCAUAUUCUUAAUAAUUUCUACAAUCAAGAAUGAAGAUGGGCUUCAGGACCCGGGGUUUGGGUCCUGUUUUCGCCCCUGAUCUAACCCGACAUGUAUAUGUCUACAAGUAAAUUUAAAUUUAAAUGUACUCCGAUCCACGCAACGCACCGGAUCACACUAGUACCGGAUUGCAUGCCUGAUCACAACCAAAAGAACAUGCCAGAAUUCAAAAAACAUCAGUCCGACAGUCUGUGCAUUUCUGCCCUAUCGGAUCGGUAAUCCCAACUGUCUGCUCCCCGAUUAAGGAGGUGCCUACGCAACCAUCUAGGUAGCCUCCGUCGCGUCCUCAUAGUCCGCCGCUGCCAACUCAACUUUCUGCCGUUGCAACGUCUGGUAGCAGAUGGAUUGCACACACAUUUUUUGCGUCGGCAUCCAAAGAGUCGACAUUGAAGGUCAACAUCUUGGUGUCCUCCGCAUUGGCGGCGAUUUUUUACUCUCUUUUUCCUCGAACACAACCUUCUUCUCUUGAUCAUGGUCCUCCUCUCUUUAAGGUUGAGCUUCUUGUUCGUCGCCUCCAUCAAAAAAUUUAUGCUCUCCGCCUUCUCCUCCUCCUCGAUGUCCGAGUGCCUCACGCAUGCCUCCUCCUUCACCAAGAUGUCCUCGAACCUCUACAUCAGCCUGGCCGCCACACCUUCUCGCUUCGCCCUCUCCACGCGCAACAAUAGUUGCAUAUCUACCGAUCGUGCACAACUGGUUGUCCACCAACUGUGUGCAACUCUUGCAUGCCUGCACACCGAUGCACAAUCACAAUUGUAUAUCCACUGAGAACGCAUUUGGUUGCCUCGACUGAAUAGUAUCUGCAUUUCAUGCACAUCUCAAGCCAGUCUGGUUUAACAAAAGCAGGCAAUAAACCAACAUCUGCAUGUUGUUUGGUUGCCUGCAUUGCGUCAAAGGCCACUUUAGACUGGCUGUUUGGUUGCUCGCAUUUGUGCUUAAAGGGUGAGCGGAUGCAAACCACACCUGUUUGGUUGCAUACACGUUUGUGUUCUGCUCACCACACUCAAAUGUGAUGGUCUUCCCACCACAUUAUGCAUAAAAACAGGUAUAACACUAAAGUAGGAGGUAAACAACAGCUAAUAGCAGAUAAACAAGCAACUAAAUAGUCAUACUGCUAAACAAGAUUAGGUUUAAAGAUAGUAGGNAGGUAUAACACUAAAGUAGGAGGUAAACAGCAGCUAAUAGCAGAUAAACAAGCAACUAAAUAGUCAUACUGCUAAACAAGAUUAGGUUUAAAGAUAGUAGGAGCAUCCCAUGCCCCCUGCGUGAACACGAGGUGCCGAACCCUAGAAAAAAUAUGAACAAGUUCCCAGCAAGUUCUCCCAUCACCGCAAACUAACUACAAGUUCAUCCUAACAUGUUCAGAGGGCGAAAGAAAGGUCACCGAUGUAGAUGUGCCUGCUGUAACACACCUUGCACCCGAUGAAGCUGUCGUGGUUGUAUAUUUGAACCUUGAGUCCGAGGCCGAAAAUUCGCAGCAUGAUGAGGUCACUGGGGACGAUCCUAUGGUGAUGGCAGAAGUACUGCCGGCCCGGCCAAGCACCAUUUGACCGUCGAAGUUCUGGACCUAAACCCAGAACUCGCACCACUUGUUUGCCGAGAGCCUGCCCACACGCGGGAGCCUGACCGUUAGCCANNNNNNNNNNNNNNNNNNNNNNNNNNNNNNNNNNNNNNNNNNNNNNNNNNNNNNNNNNNNNNNNNNNNNNNNNNNNNNNNNNNNNNNNNNNNNNNNNNNNCAUGCAUGGAGGGCAUCGGAUCCAAGUCGUACACCUUCAAAUCCAUCUACCCGAAGCUCGUCCCACGCGCGGGAGGAGGCAACCUGAUGGCAGCGGUCGGACUCCUUCCGCUUGGAAUCCAUUACGCCUGCCUAAAUGUUGCAUGGAACCGGCGUGAGGUGUGUCGUCGCUGCCUCACAGGGGGUGAUACAGUCCGUGUGGUAUCCCAACAUGCUGGCAGAUGCACAAUCGCUACGUUGGCACACCGGGGUGGGUGUGAACGCAUGGGUGUCAUCCAACACAAGUAUGCCAUGGCGUGCCUGACGUGCGAAGCAGCGGGCACGGGAGACGGUGGAAGACGUCGUGGUGGACGUAGGGUCGCACUCUACGGCGCAGUGUAUGGUGCAUGGUCACCCCGGGCGCCACAACCAUGUCGUGGUGGACAUCGACGGCUCCUCCCAUAAGGGAUCCUUCAUCAAUAUCACAUAACCAACGACGUGCACACGACAGCGUCCGACGAGGAAGAGUAGGGCAUGGGAUGUGUGUGUGUUACACAGAACAUUGAAUUUGAGCCCUUUGAUUAGACAGCAGAUCGCUGACGCAAUAGGGUGCUGGUUUUCCUGGUUACAUUCAGUUUGGUAGUUUUAGAAGAAUUGAGUCUCUCGCAUUUAUAAGUAGUAGAGAUUAGUAGUAGCGACAGAGAAUAGAGAUACCAGUGAGGAAUGUAGUAAUUAACCUAGUUGUAGUCUAAACGUACACGUAUGUCCUAAUUUGGUUAGUAUUGCAAACCGAGUAGGAUUAGUAGUAGUAUUGCAAACCGAGUCGGUUUGCAGUAGGCCUAGCUUAGCAAUAUAUAUACGUAUAUCCCUGUGUAGUCUUUGUACCAAGAAGAUCAAUACAAAGCAAUAGCAGGGCCGAUACGGUCCUGUAGCCAUCCAACUCGGCGUCUCGCGUGUGUGGGUCUCUCGGCGAGUUGUGGCAUCGAUCGAGCAAUACGCUGGCAGGAUUGAUAAGCAUGUGCAUGCGGUAGUGUACGUGGAAAUCCAUCAACCUAUGUGCUUGCUUGCUUGGUCUAGCUAGCUUCGGAGACGUACGACGUUCUGGUCAAAAGCAUCGGCUAGUUGCGUGUGUGGAAGUCAGCUUCGGUCAGUGACAUCCGUCUCGUCAGAAGGUACUCGACGAGUCGGAGGGAUCUAGGCCAACAAUUGGUAUCAGACGGCAAGAGAGGCGUGGAACGCACUCAAGGAGAUGAGGAUCGGAGAAGAUCGCGUCACCAAGGCUCGGGCACAAGUGCUGAAGCGCCAAUUUCACAAGUUGCAGAUGGAGGAAACUGAAUCGGUGAAUGACUACGCCAUGCGUCUUACUACUUUGGUGGGAGAGAUCCGCGCGCUUGGUGCAAAGCUCGAUGAGACCGAGAUCGUGGAGAAAUUUUUCAGUUCUGUCACUGAUAAAUUCACGUACAUCAUCGGCACGCUCGAGCAGCUUUACGACAUCGACGACAUGACCAUAACGAAGGCGAUCGGACGAUUGCGGACAUGGGAAGAGAAUGCUCGUGGCUGUCGGAAAGGCAAAGGAGGAGGUAGUGACCAACUCAUGUACUCGCGCACAGACUGGGAGGCCCCAAGUAGCAAAGGAAGGCGUGACGGUGGCGAAGGCUCAAGCAACACGAAGGGCGAUGGACAAACCGGAAAAGGCAAAGGAAAAGGCAAACCACAAGGUCGUGGUAAGGCGGGCCAAUCUAAAGAGCAGAAACCACGGAACUUGGACUUGUCCGAGGUCAAGUGCUAUAACUGCAAUAAGAUGGGUCACUUUGCGAAGGAUUGUCCAAAGCCUAACAAGCGGGAGAUCAAGGCAAAUUUGGCAAAGCAUGAAGACGAAGGUCCAGGUCUUCUGAUGGCCGAAGUUUGUGAUCUUGCUGAAAUGGUGGUUGUAAAACCAAGCCGGAAGGUGCUACUUCAUGAGGAAAAAGUGACACCAAAGUUAUCCGGUGAUCAGAACGUGUCGUGGUAUCUCGACACGGGUGCCAGUAACCACAUGACGGGGUGCAAGGAGAAAUUCCUCGAGCUGGAAUACGAUGUUGAAGGCUCGGUCAAGUUCGGUGAUGGUUCAGCUGUGGAGAUUUGAAGGCAAGGAUUUGUCCUCUUUGAGGGUCCCACAGGCGAACAUCGCAUACUCACCGGAGUGUACUACAUCCCACGGCUGCGCAACAACAUCAUCUCUAUUGGGAAGCUUGACGAGAAUGGAUGCAAGGUGAAUAUAGAGAGCGGAGUGAUGACGAUCUUCGACAACCUACGAAACGUGCUAGCUCGUGUUAAUCGCACACGGAAUAGGCUCUAUAUCCUCAACCUUGAUCAAUCUCAACCGGAGUGUUGGCUUGCCAAGAGUGAUGAUGAUUCGUGGUUAUGGCAUGCUAGAUUUGGACACGUUAACUUCUACGCCUUGAAGAAGAUGUCAAAGAUGCAGAUGGUAUCCGGGAUGCCAGUUAUCGACCAUGUUGAUCGAGUAUGUGACGGGUGCUUGGUUGGAAAACAGCACCGCAGGCCACUCCCUGCUCAGUCUACCUAUCGUGCAAGUGAUGCACUCGAGCUGCUCCAUGGUGAUCUAUGUGGCCCUAUCACCCCGGCAACUCACGCUGGAAAGAAGUAUUUCUUUCUUGUGGUAGACGACUACUCGAGAUAUAUGUGGGUCAUUCUCCUACGAUCUAAAGAUGAGGCGUUUGAAGCGUUCAAGAAAUUGAAGGCUGCAACAGAGAUGGAACACAAGCUGAAGGUUCGCGCUCUACGGACAGAUCGCGGCGGAGAGUUUACGUCGAAUGAGUUCAACGACUACUGCGAGAAGAUUGGCAUAAAGAGGUUCCUCACGGCACCUUACACGCCGCAGCAGAAUGGGGUCGUUGAAAGGCGCAAUCGAACCGUCGUUGACAUGGCAAGGAGUUUACUCAAGAGCAAGAACCUGCCAGGGACCUUUUGGGGAGAAGCUGUCUCGACGGCGGUCUAUCUUCUCAACCGGGCUCCAACGAAGGCGGUGAUCGGCAAGACUCCGUAUGAAGCAAUUUACGGACGUAAGCCGAAUGUGUCUCAUCUACGGACAUUCGGGUGCGCGGCACAUGUGAAGACGGCGGAGCCGCACCUCUCAAAGCUUGCCGAUCGUAGCACCAAGAUGGUGUUCAUCGGAUACGAGAGCAGUUCUGGCACCAAGGCAUACCGUUUCUACGAUCCACAAACCAAGCGUCUACGGAUUUCACGCGACGUCGUGUUUGAAGAAAACCAAGCGUGGAAUUGGAGCGCCGCAGCCGACGAUGCUCCAAACACUAACAUAUUUGCAGUUGAAUUUCCAACUGAUGAUGAUGCAGGGGAGGAUGUCCAGGUGAUUGGCAAGACACCCAACCAAGGUGACCACAAUGGUAGUGAUCAUCAUGGUGCCGACACCGACGACGACGCGCAUAGGUCGCAAGGAGAUAGCGACAACGCCGCGCACGACACAGGCGGAGAUCUCGACGACAACAUCGACAACGAGGCGCAUAGUGACGAUGACAAUCAAGAUGAUGGUCACGGUCACGACGACUACGCCGACGACACGGAUGUCGAUGACACACCAAGGUCUCAGCCGUCUUCCUCAAGUGCAUCAACACCGACACAAUUUGUGUCGCCUCCUUCGCAAGCCACAACGGACUCCUCAGGGCCUCGUCGCUACAAGACCCUCAAGAAAGUCUACAAGUACACAAAGCCAGUUACGCUCGAGUACUCCGGACUAUGUCUGUUCGGAGUUGAGGAGCCGGCGAACUUCGUAGAGGCGAGAAAAAGUCCUAGCUGGACGCACGCCAUGGAUGAGGAGAUGAAGGCAAUUGAGAGCAAUGGCACGUGGACUUUGGUAACCCGACCUCCAAACCAAAAGACGAUAGGUUUGAAGUGGGUUUACAAGUUAAAGAAGGACACGGAGGGUGCCAUUGUGAAGUACAAGGCAAGACUCGUUGCAAAGGGCUACGUUCAACGUCAAGGAGUUGACUAUGAUGAGGUGUUUGCACCGGUUGCUCGAAUCGAGACGGUGAGAGUGCUCCUAGCUUUGGCAGCACAAGAGGAUUGGAAGGUUCAUCAUAUGGAUGUUAAAUCCGCUUUCCUCAACGGCGAUCUCACAGAAGAAGUGUACGUGGAACAACCCCUCGGCUACGAGAAGAAAGGCGAAGAAGGGAAAGUUUACAAGCUCAAGAAGGCACUUUACGGGUUGAAGCAAGCGCCAAGAGCUUGGAACUCAAAGUUAGACCGAAGUCUGGUCUCGCUCGGGUUCAAGAGAUGUCUCCUCGAGCACGCAGUCUAUACAAAGAACUCCAAAGGCUCAAACCUGCUAGUUGGAGUUUAUGUCGACGAUCUGAUUAUCACCGGAGAUAGCGUACAAGAAAUUGAACGUUUCAAGGCGCAAAUGAAGAACAAGUUUGGCAUGAGUGAUCUGGGAUUACUCAGCUAUUACUUGGGCAUCGAAGUGAAGCAAAACUCCGGAGAGAUUUUCCUAUGUCAAUCGGCUUACGCGGUCAAGUUAUUGGACAAGUGUGGCAUGUCAGAUUGCUACGCGACACAAGUUCCAAUGGACCAACGUCACAAGUUGAGCAAGCGUAGCUCAAAUCCGCCGGUGGACACCACAAUGUAUCGAAGCGUUGUGGGUAGCCUAAGAUACUUGGUGCAUACCCGACCUGACUUGGCUUAUUCAGUCGGGAUCGUGAGUCGUUUCAUGGAGAAACCGACAACUGAACACAUGAGCGCGGUCAAUCAAAUUCUACGCUACGUGAAAGGCACAAUUAAUCUUGGCUGCACGUACAGCAAGGGAAAGGAAGGAUUGAUCCUUCGUGGAUAUUCAGAUAGUGACAUGGCAGGUGAUGUUGAUGACCGAAAGAGCACAACGGGCAUGGUUUUCUACCUUGGCCCGAAUCCGAUUAGCUGGAAUUCUCAGAAGCAAAAGGUGGUGGCACUGUCUUCAUGCGAGGCAGAAUACAUAGCGGCAAGCACGGCGGCUUGUCAAGCAGUUUGGCUGAGAAGACUCCUAGCUAUUCUUGCAAAGCGGGAGGUGCAGAAGGUGUCAUUAAAGAUUGACAACCAAGCUGCAAUCUCAUUGUGAAAAAAUCCGGUUCAUCACGAAAGGAGCAAGCACAUAGAUACCCGGUUCCAUCAUAUCCGGGAGUGCGUUGAGGAAGGGAUGAUAGAAGUUCUGCACGUGAAUACGAAGGACCAGCUUGCCGAUAUUUUCACCAAGUCCCUCGGUCGACAGAAGUUCAUCGAGAUGAGGAAGAAAGUCGGAGUGCAAGCAAUGAAGACAUAUCAACAAGGUUAAGGAGGUGAAAAUUAUUCUUCGAUCCCUUCGAGUGUGGGAGGCCAUCACGGACGACGACGUCGACGAGGAGCGCGACGAAGGUGCCAUGGCCGCCAUAGCCCAGUCUGUGCCGGACUCCGUGCUGAUGACAUUGGCGGGGUUCGAGACGGCAAGAGAGGCGUGGAACGCACUCAAGGAGAUGAGGAUCGGAGAAGAUCGCGUCACCAAGGCUCGGACACAAGUGCUGAAGCGCCAAUUUCACAAGUUGCUGAUGAAGAGAAAAACAGAUCAGAGAGAUCAAUACGAAGAUAUUCAACAGGUGCGACACGCACCUCUGGCCACCAAAACUCGGCGAGUUUGUUUCUCCUGUGGCGUGUACAACAUAGCUAGCCGGCGGCUCGAUUCCAUCAAGCGGCUACUCGUAUACGUGCAUGUGUUUGCCUCACAGGAAGGAAAUCCAUCCAGCUGCUUUACGUACUACUUGUGUACACGAGUCUCCCGACCGGCCGGAAAGUAAUCGGUUGCGGUAGCUUGUACGUGCAUCGUCGGAAAGUACUCGACGGUUGCAUCGUCAAGGUCGAGUCUGGGCCAACAAGGAAGGAGGCAUGAUCUAUAUUUUGUAGGAGAUAAGGCACAUGCUCAAGUUAUCAUCACGGGCUCAGGUACUGUAGUUUGGUGAAUAUAAUCACUACAAGAUAUGGCUUCUCGCUUAUAUAUAAAGCAGGAGGAGAGGGGGCAAUGGAGUGAAGCGUGCUAUUGAAUAUCACAGAAUUCAACUUGGUUGAAAUGAAGUAAGCCUAUAAAAUAUUCAGUGGAUCACCUCUAUGCAAGAUAUUAGAGAUAAUUCAAUCUUUGCACAUGUUCGAGAAACCUUGCGACCGAUAUGUCACACAAGUAGGAUUGGGAGGUAUAGGGAAAUAUAGCAAAAUGAGAGCAUAUGUAAACUUCUCCUGUUGGUAAACGCAUCGACGAUUACUUCCACUUUUUAGUAGGAGGGAAGUUAAUGUAUGAUGCCUAAGAGUUUUGAGAAUACACUAUUUUUGUAACAUGCCUAAUGCACCGGUACGGAAGGAGUACCAUUUUUCCUGCUAGACUAUGACCAAAUUGCAACCUGUUUCGUGAGGAACAUAAAUUCAAGGGAAACUUAGACAACCCGUGUUGAAUAAUAUGUCACAUUAUACCAUGUUGUUUUUUUAUCAGCCGUAAUAUUCCGGUCCAUAGUAGCGAGCAGUUAGUUGAUUCUUUUUUACAAACUGGGCGUCACGUCCACGGUCCUCCUCAGCAAAUUUAUUUCCAAGAAGACGCUAUUCUUUGUUUCAAUAAUAAAUCUCUCAAAGGAGGGAUCACUAUCAGAUGUGCACUCCUAAAAUAAACAAGAAGGGGUCACUAUCAGAUGUACACCAAGCGUACUUCUUUGUUCGGCCAUAUCAUUUUUGUACAAUCUGGCUGGCCAAUCAAAUGUGUGUGUCAUUUUAUACUAUCUGGCCGGCCACCAUAAUCCACGGCAAUGCAACAGCCCAUAUUCACAAACAACUUCGUACAAGCACCGUAUCUCUCCGUCUCCCAUUUUAGCACUAUAUAUACCACCAAGUCCCAUCCAGCAAACCAGACCAAAGUAACCGAGACUUGCCAUCCUAGGUUGCAUCUGCCUCCGCAGUACUAUCAGUGUAGUCCGGUGCCUAACCGAAGAUGGCCAUCCACAAGGCUUCGCUUCUUGCCAUCCUCGGUUGCAUCUGCCUCUAUGGCACUGUCAUUGUAGCUCGUGAGCUGAACAAUGACAUGUUGAUGGUGACGAAGCAUGAGGACUGGAUGGCUCAGUACGGUCGCGUGUACAAGGACACCAUUGAGAAGGCUCGUCGGUUUGAGGUUUUCAAAGCCAACGUCGAAUUCAUUGAGACAUUCAAUUCCAAGAAUCACAAGUUCUGGCUCGGCGUCAACCAGUUCGCUGAUAUCAGCAAUGAUGAGUUCAGGACAACCAAAACAAACAAGGGGUUCAAAGCAAACCCCAUGCGAGUUCUUUCUACAGGAUUCAGGUAUGAGAACUUGAGUUUUGAUGCCCUUCCAACAACGAUGGACUGGAGGGCCAAGGGAGCCGUCACUCCUAUCAAGGAUCAAGGCCAGUGCGGUAAGUCAAAAAACAUUGUGAUGCAUUGCAUAUAUUUGGUAAUAUUUUCUGGGAUAACACUAUAACAACAUAAUUAUUUCUAGGCUGUUGUUGGGCAUUUUCUGCUGUUGCCGCGACUGAGGGCAUUGUAAAACUGAAAACCGGGAAGUUGAUCUCACUGUCGGAGCAAGAGUUAGUUGACUGUGAUGUUCAUGGUGAAGACCAAGGCUGCGAGGGAGGACUCAUGGAUGAUGCCUUCAAAUUCAUUGUCAAGAAUGGGGGCCUUACUACGGAGUCCAGCUACCCAUAUACAGCAGCUGACGAUAAGUGCAAGGCUGGAUCCAACAGUGCCGCCACCAUCACCGGCUUUGAAGAUGUGCCUGCCAAUAACGAGGGUGCCCUUAUGAAGGCGGUGGCAAACCAACCAGUAUCUGUAGCUGUGGACGGGGGUGACAUGACGUUCCAAUUCUACUCUGGUGGGGUCAUGACUGGGUCCUGUGGAACUGACUUGGACCAUGGAAUUGCAGCCAUUGGAUAUGGAAAGACUAGUGAUGGCACAAGCUAUUGGUUGAUGAAGAAUUCAUGGGGUGCAACUUGGGGCGAAGAUGGGUAUUUGAGAAUGGAGAAAGACAUUGCAGACAAGAAGGGCAUGUGUGGUCUUGCCAUGGAACCUUCUUACCCCACAAAAUAGGAAGAUUUUCAAAUGCCACAUAGUCAUGCAAAUGCACAGUUCUCAAAUAACUAAGGUUCCUAUAUCCUAUGUAUAGUUCAUAUGUGUUCGUAAAUUGGGUACGAUGAUGUAUCUUAUGUGCAUACAUUCUUAUACUUUGUAAAUUAAUAUCAUGUGUGCUAUAUUGUACGUGAGAAGUUGAUAAAGAAUUAUGUUGAUACAUAUUACAUGAAGCUUUGAAAUGUGUAAGUUAUUUGACUAUGUUAAGAGUAAACUCUAAAGGUAGUUUCAUAUAUAUGGUUUUUAUAUAGUGUCUUCGGUAUUUAUAGGAAUGUGCCAUUGGAUAACGGUUGAGUGUUACUAAACCUUAUAUGAGUGAACAAAGGAUGUAUUUCUCAACCAUGCUAUUUUUAGUGUAUUCACUCGCUAGCUUGCACAAAACUAAACAAAUCUUAACUCUCCGCGACCAUAUAUCAACAGAAUGAUGAGGUACAGUCAAUUGAGCUAUCACCAAAAGCCAGACUCUUAUAAAGGCGAUCUAUACAAGAAGCUUUAACUUCGUAUCCAAGUUCUUGAUGAGACUGUAUUGUAUAGUAAAGAGGAAGAAUACUCCUCUAUCAACACAUGUACUUUGUAUCGAACAAUCGGUCCUGGGUAACAAUGAAUGUGGAGAACAAGAAAGGAUUAGUGAAAGGGAAGAUGUGUAGAGAUGAUGGGUGGGGAGAAGUACAAGAGGAAUGUUUCUAUCUGGAUGCAGAAGGCAGAAGGCCAAAAGAGGCUAUAUCUGAAGGAGGGAGCGCAGACAAGAAUAUUACAGAUUUUGCAUCCAAGUACUUACCGAACCAAGACAAUUUUCAAUGAGAGAUCUUCCCAAGUUUCUUAGCCUACACUGAAUGUUUUCAGUCCCUUCAUGUAAAUCGAUAUGUAUAAUAAGAUUGAGCAGUAGCUGAAAACUACUUGUUGUAAAAUCAAGUUACAUUUGUUGUAAGAUCAAGCAGUAAGCUACUUCUUGGAGAUAGGAAGGAGCAAUAUGAUCAUCUGAUUCAGUCUAGUCCUGCUAGCAGAGCAUAAAUGCACAUAAAUAAGAGUGCACGUUGUAUAUGCAUGCAAAAUGCAAUGUGAAAUUUACACAUCACAUCAAAGGAUUCAUACAUAAAGUAAUGGGUCCUUAAGGCCAAAAAGUUACACAUCACAUCGGUCCACUUCUUCUUUGCCGAGUCAAGAAGCAAUGCAAUGUGAAACCAUAGAUAAAAAAAUCUAACCGAAUGAUAAAAGUAAUAAGAGUGCCAUAAGUAACAACAUAUUUAGAAGAACUACUAUAACCUAAUAAGAUUGACAAGCUCAAUGAGAUAUGCAGGCAGAAGGCCUGAAAUGAAAUGGUACCUCCUGGUGUAUUAAGCCAUAUUGAUCAAAGAUAUUUAGCCCUGCAGUGCAAAGGUAUAUAUUUGAUCAUAUUAAUGCAUGCCUAAAUAUAAUUGGAAUGCUUUGUUGAUAAUUGAUCUGCAUGACAAUCAGAAGAAGAACAACAUGAUGCACAAAAGGCGGUUGAAACAUGUUGCUGCUCCACUCAAAAGUUGCAAGGAGCAUAUAUUGUGGGAAACGGAAGAUACAGGUUACACGGCAAGAAAACUAUCAACAUCGGACCACGAAUUUCACGCAAAGUAUGAAAUAUGAUAGUAAUACCAUCAAAGUCAGGACACAGGUUAGCAGCAGAAGCAGAUACAAGACAUGCUUCAUAGGUCACAUCCAAAAAUAAUAAAAUCCACCCUUUAUCGAAAAAAGGUCACAUAUGAAAACUUCCAUUGCUCCACAUAUAUUAAGCAUUGUUGCGAAUAUGCACCUCUGAUAAAGGGUCCUCAAAGGAGUAAUCGGUACCUGUCUUGAAGCUCCAGGGCUUGCCUCCUUCAGGGCCUAUGCUCCCGAGAAGCACCAUUCCACGGGAACUACUGGCCAUCUUGUUAUAAGCUUCAUGCGCUUUAUGAGUCGCUUAAUCCAUCGAGAAUGACGUGGAGCUUGGGUUAGCCAUGUAGAGGGACGCAGUCCUCAGCACCCUCACGCUCCGAAAGAAGAACUUGAGGAGGGCAACCUCCCCGAGCUCCCCUCGGAAUUCUUUGUAAGACAACACCUUGAUGCACGACUUGACGUUUUCAGGGCUUGACCAGUUUCCAAAAGUUGAGAUUCAGCCUCGCACUGCCAGCUUCAUAAUAACAUUUUUCAGACUGCAUGAAAAUUAUCAAUUAAAUCACUCCGAGGCGGGCGAGGACGUUGCCCAGGAGGUCACGCGGGAAGCGACUAAGGCGGUCGGCACCACGGGAGGCGGCGAGGGCGGUGAACCAUGUGUCGUCGUAGAGGGGGCAGUUGGGAAGGUUGUUGUAGAUGUACGCUAGCAUCACCUUCGUGCAUCACUCCCUCUCGUGCAGGUCGACUGUUGUCCCUAGUUCGGCGCUGUUGAACGGUGGCUGCAGCUGCUCAGCCAUGGCCGACGGCGGCGAUGGUGAGGGUUUAUGUAUUUGGGCGAGCCAUCGGGUGUGUGAGUGGCGUGGCCCUAUUUGGCUGGGCCAGCUUACCAACGAGAUUUGCUAACGGGCCCAUGAGAGAGAGAAGGACGAUCAGAUAUGAUCUGGCAGGUGCAACCGGCUAUGGUGAAUACAAGUCUCGAAUACAUGCAACUACCCAUGGUCACACUCAUGUUUCAUCAUCUAUGUAACCUAGCUAUGAUCCGAUCGCAUACAAGAGAAGGAUGAUCACGAUGAGCAAAAGAGGGAUUAUGUCAUGGUUCAUGAGGCGUCAGUUCUGAUUUCUCUGGCGUGCUAGUGUCCACCUCAAGUAACUAGCUUACACCUUGCUUCUGCUAUCAAACCCUUUCUGGCUGCCGUCCGGGAAGUGAUACACUUGGGCCUGACACUCUGGUCACUCCUCGUACACUCCCGAAACCCUCCCUAUGUACACGGCAUACCACCUCGCCAUCGAUGAUCUAUAUGCCUAUCAGAGACGCAUAUAUCAUCAAGUGAAUUCAAAGAUAAUAUGCCACAUAAUAUAUGAUAUCGGCCUGCGGACAGGAAGAGUUAGCAAAUAGAAGCAACAUAAACAUAGUUAACAAAAUUCAUCGUACCAAAACUAACUAUCUAGAGUGCGGUAGCGUUUACAUUUAAUAGUUACGUAGUACAGAUAAAUUCCAAUUUUGGAUGUAGAGAAAGGAACAACUAAAUAGACACGGUGUCAUUGUUAAUUUAAACAGUGCACUCGGCUCAUUCAUCCAUAUCCGGGAGGAUGCAUCCAAGCUUGUUGAAAGGCAUGUUGUCCUGAAGUAGUAGGGCUAUGCGGGUGUGGACGUCAUGUCAUCAUCAUCAUCUUCACUUAUCCAUCGAGUAUGGCCAUCCAUGAAACCAUGCAUGAGCAUUUGCGUCUUGAAUUUGCCAGCCUUAAAGGGGUCGAGCCAUACUCUAUCUUCGCAUCUACGACAUGGACAAAAAAUCUCCUUCCAUUUGUUUUCAUACAUGUCUUCCACCGCGGAUUGUCAGUAUCUUUCCACCUUCCUUCCAUUGACUUUCAUGAUUGCGUGCGCGAUACGCAUGCAUGCAACAAAAUCAUACAAAAAUUUGACAUGACCUUCCCUAAACAUAGGACAUGUCGAGUUUGCCCUAAAUUCUCCGAAACGGAAAUGAAUCCACAUUUCGGCAUAACAUAGGCAACUCAUGUCAUGCACACUUCAACAAAUACACAAUAUAGGCAACUCACACAUGCCACACACACAAUCACAUAGCUCCGUCCUAUCACACGCACACAAACACAUACGCAUAUUUCCAUUCUUGCACGUUAUCCCUUCUUUUUCCUCACCUAUGUCAAGAGAGAUCAAGCCCGGUACGAAGAUACAUGUUCAAUUCUCUUUCUUAAUUAGCUAGUAGAUCUAGAUAGUGAGGUAACUAGAUAUAUAGCUCUAACUAGGGAGAGAGAGAGAGAAAAGGCUAGCUAGUGGAUGGCUGAAAUAUUAAAGACAAGGGAGGUUAGGUCAUUAAUAUAUGAAGGUGUUGGUGAAGGUCAAAGAAAGAGAUGAGAGGGGGGAGGAAGAUCAUUAAUGGAGGUGAUGGAGGAGCAAAGAAGAGAGAGGGGGGAGGGGAGCAUGGAAGGAAGAAGAAGAGGAGGUGGGGAAGAAGAAAGGGAAAAGAAGAGAAUGUGGGGAGAAGGUGACAGAUAUUUUGUGGCUGACGAUCAUAGCAAUAGCGCUGCUUGAGAAACGCUCUACUACUAGAUACACUAGCAGUAGCGUCAUUUCCUACCAUGCGCUGCUAUUAACUAAGGCCCACCAGUGUAACCAUAGGAAAUUAGUAGUGGAGCCCUUUUCAAGAAACGCAUUACUGCUAGUGUAACUAGUAGUAGCACUUCUCGUAGACAAGCGCUGCUGAUAAGGAAGACCCACUAGCUUACCAGUAGAAAAAUAUAUGUAGCGCCCUUUCAAGGAAAUGCGCUACACAUACACUAGUAGUUGUAGCCCAUGUUUUUAUUGGAGCACUACUAACUUAUGUUGAUCCUCGUGCACCCUUUGGCCCACUUAGAAGUAGUGUGUUCAUGCCUACCAAGUGCUACUUCUAAUUAGUACUAGUAGGGCCUUUUUUUCUGCGCGCUAAUGGUACUUAGCAGUAGCGUUUAGUCCAUAACGAGCGCUAUUAGUAACAUUUUACCUAUAAGUUUUUCACUAGCAAUGCUUUCUUCGGAAGGAUAGCGGUUGGAUGCUGAAAGCGGCUUCUAAAUCGUGUGCAUGUGGUGUACGCUUUAGGUCUGCUGCAUCGCCGUUGGUUUUGAUACGUUAUAUGGAUGGAUCGACGACGGCAUCGGUUUUAGAUAUGGAAAGCGAGAGCAUCCCACAUUAUCAGGUUUGUAGGUGUGAGUGAUGGAUUGCAAUGUCUUGAUAUAUGUUCUUGUCAGAAUAAUUAGUAAAUGGUUUUCAUACUUUAUCAAUGGUAAUGGUUCUUGGCAAUACAAAAUCAUGAAUAGUUUUUCAGCGUCAAGAAUGUCAACGGCGUUAGACAUUUAUGUUUGUCCGUAGAGCCAUUUGAAGAAGAAAAACUAAGCACGUGGAAUGGUAAGUUUAUGUCUUAUGGUGGAAGGCUUGUUCUGAUCAACUCGGUGUUGACAAGCAUGCCAAUGUUUCUACUUUCUUUUUUUGAAAUGCAUGUAGGGGUACGAAAAAAGAAUAGAUUUCUAUCGAUUACAUUUUUUUCUGGCAAUGAGAUAAAAACAAUACAAAAUAUAGGCUUUCCAAAUGGGAUAUUAUUUGUAGACCGAAGGACCAGGGUGGCCUAGGGAUUGAAAACUUAGAAGUCGAGAAUAGAUGCCUGCUUAGCAAGUGGCUAUAUAGGUUGCGUAUUGUGACCGAAGGUAUGUGGGUAUAAAUUUUAUAGAAUAAGUACCUACGUUCGAAACCUCUAGCUUAGGUUGUUGUUAGACCUAAUGACUCUCCUUUCUAGAAGGAGGUAAUAAGGACGAGUGUUGCUUUUUUCCAAAGAACAAAAAUUAUCAUUGGGAAUGGUAACAUAAUUGGAUUCUGGGAGGAUACUUGAUUAGGGGAGACAUCACUGGCACACAAUAUCCUUUUCUAUAUAAUAUUGUGCAACACAAGGAAGCUUAUGUUGCCACACUAUUGCGCUCUGUCCCUCUCAAUAUCCAGUUCAGAAGGUCUCUAGUACGAGACCGAUGAGAGCUGAUUAUAUCUCGUGCGGAGGUUGAUGGAUGUUCACCUCUCUGAUGAGCAGACAUGAUUCACUCGUAACUAUCCGUCAACGGGAUAUUUUUCGUUGGUCUACAUAUCUAGACUUAAUAAACUCUGGUCCAAUUCCAAAAUCAAGUCUAUUUGGAAGACUAAAGUUCCUUUGAGAAUCAAGAUAUUGAUGUCGUUUGUUCACAAGGAAGCGAUUCUUACAAAGGAUAACUUUCUCAAGCGAAGAUGGGAGGGUAGUUAUAGUAUGGAAGCUUGUUAGUUGGUAGAGACUAAUAUCUUGCAUCAAUCAUUGUUGUGACCAUAGCCGUCGUCUUCAUUCUCAUGACGCUCACUCCUUCGAACGAGUGGUGCCCAGUGAAAGGAAAAGCGGGUAUUUGUGGAUUCCAUUCUUUGUUGUGAAGGAGCUCGAUCCUGGUAAGGUAUUGCUGGGGAAGUGUCUUGCCAACUCGAGUGGGACAAGGAAGCAGCUCGGAGCUCGCGAGGAUGUUAGUGACGGCUCCCUAGAUGGUACCAAUGACGACACCGGAGACAUGAAAGAGUCAUGGGACGUUGCAGAAGUGACGAAUUUUGCCCGACGGUGAUAGUGUGUGGUGUCUCUUGUGAAAGAAAGAGUCAUGGCACGUUGCAAAAGCCAUGUGCGAGCCGGCUGUACUAAUGUGUUUUCCAGUGACUCCCAAUUCUAUAGAACCCGGCACAACAAUGUAAUGGCCCGCAACUUCCUCUUAACAUUACAAAUAUUUUACUUGAUCUUAUAUAUCCAUACAAAUAAUUUAUACUAUAUGAACAUCAUUUAGGUGUCUCCACUUCUUUACUCAGCCAACGUCAAUAUAUAGAGUUCAGCUAUGUUGGUAUUCGAAAGCACUCUCAUCCCCAACCUACACUAGAGGCUCACCAACCAAAUCUAGUUAGUUGACUGCAUAAAGAACCAUGUCCAAAAGUGGGCCACAGGUUAUCAAACAAAUUAAGUUUGUGCACUUACGCAGCUAUUAUAAAACAUAAUUUGCAUUCCAUGUAUAUUUAUCUAGUAUUGAUGUCACGUACCAUGGGUAUUUUUGGAUAUAUUUGGAAGAUAUAUUCAACCAAAUACUCACCUAAAUAUGCCAACAAGUUGGAUGGACAACUUAUUCAUUUUGGUAGGAGUAUUCAUAAAUUGUCUUGAAGAUACGGGGUUAAGUAGUAUUGUUUCUGUAAAGAAAUAUAAGAGUGUCUAGAUUACUACUUUAGUGAUCUAAACGCUUAUAUUUCUUUAUGAAGGGAGUAGAUCUAGUGAUGCUCAUGAUUCUUNNNNNNNNNNNNNNNNNNNNNNNNNNNNNNNNNNNNNNNNNNNNNNNNNNNNNNNNNNNNNNNNNNNNNNNNNNNNNNNNNNNNNNNNNNNNNNNNNNNNUCUCCUCCCGCUGGCGCGCGCUCUGGCGCUCCACGCCCCUCGUCCUCGCCGACAUCCACCUCCUCCCCAAAGCCCAGGCCUUGCGCCCCAAGCCGUCCAACUCGCCGGCCGUCACCGCCGCCGUCUCCCGCAUCCUCGAGGCGCACCCGGGGCCCUUCGCCUGCGUCCACCUCAUCUGCAGCCAGAUGGACGGGUACCGCGCCCGCCUCGCGCGCUGGCUCCAGCUCCUCGCCGCCAAGGGCGCCCAGGACCUCGUCCUCGUCAACCGCCCGUGGCCACUCGACGUGCCCCUCCCGGCCACGCUCUUCACCAUCACCACCCUCACCCGCCUCCACGUCGGCGUCUGGAAGCUGCCGGGCACGGCCGCACUGCGUGGCGCCUCCUUUCCCCGCCUCCGCGAGCUCGGCCUCUACUUCGUCGAAAUGGAGCAGGGACUCGUCGACUCCCUCGUCGCCAGGAGCCCCGUCCUGGAGAUCCUCAACAUUGUGGGAUGCAUCAAUGGCGGGUUGCGUCUACGUCUCGUCAGCCAGAGCCUCCGGUGCGUGCAAAUCUGCGGCUCUGUUCUGGAGGACAUCGCCGUGGUGAAGGCUCCGCGCCUCGAGAGGCUCAUCCUGAUUGAAUCUUGCAAAAUCGCCCGUGGCUUGUGCACCAGGCUCAGGAUUGUCGAUGCUCCCAAGCUGCACAUUUUUGGAUACUUAGAGCCAGGACAGGUCCUUGAGGUCGGAGAAACAGUCAUCAUGGUACAUCUCCAGUCUCUCCAUUGGUUCAGUUACCAAAUAUUAUCAACUGACGACUCACUCAAUUGUGUGAUGUUCCUUCUUGAAUUCGUCAAAUUUCAGCCUGGGAUAAAGGCGAGCGCAAGUGCCAUGCUCACAAGCGUGAAGAUUCUGACUUUGAAUGUGCGUUUCGGGGUUCGCAAUGACGUGAAGAUGGUGCCCACCUUCCUCAAAUGUUUUCCCAAUGCUGAGAGACUGCAUAUUGUGGUAUGCGUUACGAGUCCCUGUUCUGCUUAUACUUGUAUGAUUUUUCGCUCCUUGUUGCUGGUUGUGUUAGGCUGAUAAGCUCUUUAUAUGUGGUCGCGGAGAGACUGCAGUUUAUGAUUGAUUGCAUAUUUCAAGUCAGUCGUUGUGAUAGCUAGCUCUUUAGUUUACAUGGUCUUCUUGGUAUUGUCCACUGUAAUGUACUCCCUCCGUUCCUAAAUAUAAGUCUUUUAAGUGAUUUCACUAGAUGUCUACAUACGGAGCAAAAUGAUUGAAUGUACACUCUAAAGUAUGUCUAUAUACAUCCGUAUGUAGUCCACUAGUGAAAUCUCUACAAAGACUUAUAUUUAGGACUUAGGAGCGGAGUGAGUAUGACGCAUAACAUAUUUGACCAGUUAUAGGUUAACUUUCAUGCCUUGCCAUUUAUUCUCAGCCACCGUCUAGUCUUUUCGACAAUCUAGAUAUAUAUACUGAUACCUUGAUUUAUAGUGCUUUACUUCUUUACGUAUGUUCAUAUUUUCUUGUUCUAGUGUUUCUCACAGUCUUCUUACAAGUUACUUGUAUCUGUGCUAUGGUACUGUAACAGAUGCCAUGCUUAUUAUAGACUUGUAUGUAAGUUUCACAUGGUAAACUAGCACAUUCAAGUAGACAGUUUCCCGAGUCUUUUCUGGUAUAGAUAUUACCACAAUCGCUAUAUUGAUGCUAGUACGCUAGUUUUAUCAUAUCAGGAUCUUAGGAAUUUAUCUCCGAUUAAUUUAUUAUAGAAAGAGGCUAGUGUGACUCACAUCUGGAAAUUCUUAUCAAAGUCUGAUAAACUGCUGUUAAGACUAAAGUUUGCAGCCUCACGUAGAUCUUAAUUUGCUGUCCAUGAAUUAUGCUCAGAUCUUACCAUUCUUUCUUUUCUCUCUCUCCGCACUACUAGGCUAUUUAUGCUCCAGAAGCCAAAGCUCAAGCCCAAACAAACAUGGCCUUAGUAAUUAUUACAUUCGGGUACUUUCAUCCGUUGAAGUAUAGAGUUGUUGUCGAGGUUCCUAGUUGUGACAUCUCCCACAAUUGGAUCUAGCAUUUAGUUAUGGACCGGUAUAAUUUGCAGUAUUUUGUACUGAGCAGUUAGCUCUGUAUACGGUGUACAUUCUGAGUCUUAGCUGCAAAAAUUCUCUAUGCGCUCUCAAAAAAGGACUUUCAUAAUAGUAUAAUAAUGCAAUUGCCUUGUCAAACCUUUUCUUUCCAGACAGCGAAUGUAAACAGUGUACGGACGAAUUUAUUUCAGCUUAUACUUUUCUUGCUCUGCUUACAAUAUUGAUAAUUUCCUCUACGCGUGACUUGAAAGUUUUUCCCAUCUUGCAGCAGAUUUUGUUGCUUAUGGUGUUCAAUUGCCUUGCCAAGCAUUGCUAUUUGUUCUCAGCCAUCAGGUCGUCUGUAUGCACGCAGACUAGAGUACACAUUUAGAAAUUAGAACUAUGGCCUUGCUUGUUCAUCUCUUUAUUGUAAAGACAUUUAUUACCGAAGUUUUGCUGUGCCACACUUCAUCGUGUCAUUAUUUUGGUUGUGAAACCACUAUACAUACGACAAUAUGGGGUCUGAUCUUUGUACAUCGCUCAAUCCGGCCUCAUUGCUGCAUUCUCUGCCACACAUAACUUUUUGAACAGUGUCGUAUCAAAAUCGGAUGCAAAUCAUCGUACGCGGCACAGUGAUUUCUAUUGCUUUGCUUGAUUUUCUGGCAUGUCCAGAUUUUCUUUUUCAGUUUUUCUCAUGUUCCUCAUACUAGCUAGCUAGAAGUAUUUGUGCUGUGGAAUGUGGAUGAUGCGAAUGGCACGCAAUGCUUAUUAUAGCAAACUGAUUAAACUAGCAUCUGUUCUGCAUACAGUUUCCUGGAGACUGGAGGUUUGUGCUGUAAUGCCACUCGGUAAUUGCAAAAUGUGUUUGGCACUUGUCUUCGAUUAAGUAAUCAAUUCUGAACUGGUUGUCAUGGCUCACAUCUGGCAAACAGUUUAAGACCUCCACGGUAGAAUGGAAUUUGCUGGCUUAUUUUAAAAUUUGUUGUACGUGAGAGGCUGUAUAUAUGCUGACAACACCAGCAGAGUUUUUUUCCUGUUCCAGUAUGCUACUUGCUGCUUUGUGCUGGUUUAAUGCAUGGAAGUAUUAUUGAUCUGUCAUUUCUGCAAGAACAUAACUAAUUUUAUUCGUCAUGUCAGUCUUCCUCAGAUGCUUUUCCAACUGUUGAUCGAUUUAUCUAUUUGUUUGCAGAGUGAUAAAUGUGAUAAAUCAACUGGUGAACACCUCACCGUCAAGUUCUGGGAGGAGUCUGGUCCCAUUGAGAACGUCGUCUCGCGCGUCAACGUGAUGACUUUCCGUGAGUUCAAAGGGGACCGUGGCGAGGUUGGCUUCCUGGAGUACGUCUUUCGGAGUGCGCGGGUGAUGGAGAUGGUAGCUAUUUUCAUGGCCAAUCCAAGCUCCACGCCGUUCUCGGAGGACGAGGCGUUUGUCAAGGCGCAAUACAGCGCUAGAAACAUUGCAUGUAAAUCCUGCAAAAAGUGCAUCAUCUGGAGUAGCCAUCCUGCAGUGGCUUGGAGCCUCAAAAUCGGGGCAGAUUUCUCCUUCGAGGACCCGUUUACGGUGAGGGAGGAGGACAGCUGAGCUUAUAGUUUCUGUGGAGAAGUGGAUCAGUUUUUUUAUGCAAACUGUGAAGUGCGGCGGUAUCUGUUGCUCGCUGUGCUACCCUUGCGACGGUCUGUCAAAUUUGAGGCUUGGUGCCUGGUAAGCAGCAGACUAAUCAGCUGAUAUUCGUGACUUGCCAUGUAAUGUAACCCGUGUCGAUCAGUUUCGUAUGCUCCUUGAAAUGUUCCAUUGCUUGGAGUUGCUGAUUGUGAUUUGGUGAUGAUAUAUUUAUAUAUUGCUCAUGUUUAUCAUGUGAUCAACUACAAAGCUUAACAUCUUUUUUCCUGCAUGUUUAUUUGUGUUGAGACAUAAUGCACAACUUGUGAAAAACAGUUUGCAAUAAGAGUAAUACCAUAGUUGUUGCAGUUUGAUUUGUCACGUCGUAUCUGAAUUUUUUGGCGAUUACUGCGGGCCAAGUUCUGCGAAUACUGCUGGUAAGAACGAGCCGUCAGGUUCAUAGUUUCGUACUGUUAUUUUGGAGUGUCUGUUCAAACAUGAGUAAAUGAAGUGUUUGCUAUGGCGGCGGAUUCUCUUAACACUUAAAGUUCUCUUAUCCUUUUUUUACUUUUUAUUUGUGCAAAUCUUCCUUUUUUUGGUUAUUGCUGAAUUAUUUACUAAAAGUUUUUUUUUUUUACUUUGUUUCUAGAGUUUAUUUGAAUCUUGUUUCCUCAAAAUACCAUAUUGAGAAUAAGUAAAGUAAUGACUCCGAGCCUGAUGUCUUCUAACCUAUAGAUUUGGUCCAUGGUCAAGUAAAACACAAAUAAUUGAAAGUUAAGAGAAACAAGACUUGGCUCAAGUAGUGCUAACUAUUUUCAGAUCAUAGAAAUAAGAGAAAAAAUGACGAACAUAAAUGAGGAAAAAAAAUACAAAACAUGAAAGUUAAAACAAAAAACACAUUGACAUCGCCCGACUUAGAUCAUCUCCAGCCGCGCCCCCAACAGGCCCCUUCGGGCGUGUUUCUUUCCGCCGGCGCUGAAAACCCCCUAGUCGCGUUUCGAGGACGCCGAUUUUCGCCGAUUGGGCCCAUUUUUAGGUCCGGCGUUCCCAGACCGAACCCAGUGUGCUGGGGCGCUUGCAGGAUCCGGCGGAAGGAAAAACGAUGUGUGGGCCCCACAGUCAGGCGGAAAACAUUUCCUCACCACCAGAUUACCCCCCAUCCACGCGCGCGCAACACACCUUUCGCCGCCGUGCCGAUCCCGGCGCCGCCCACCGUCCUACCACCGCUGGAAAGGCCAUCUCCACGCUGAGAAAGGAAGGGGUUCGCCGUGAUUUUGUCCCUGCUUCUGGGCGAGCUUCUCCGGCGCUUCGGCCACGCAAACGGCUGCGCGUCUGCCACGCCCAUCUGGUGUUUGGCAAUUUGUCUUGGUGAUGGACUCCGACGACGAGGAGGCGUUCGUGGCGCUGCUGGAGGAGGAAGCGAUGCUGACACCUAGGGCGAAGAGGACCUCACGAUCCUCGCCGCUCUGGUCGGCCUGUUCGCGAGCAAUGCAAAGCCGCGGCGAGGUGGCUCGGCGCCGGGCCGGUUGAAGGUAAAGCAGAGGCAUCGAUUGGAAGGCUAUUGCUUGCUCUACACUGACUACUUCGCCGAUGCUCCUCUGCACGGCGACAAAGUAUUUCAGCGCCAUUAUCGGAUGAGCCGGAAGCUCUUCCUCAGGAUUGUACUGAAGUUGAUCACCAGCUGUCAGCAACCUGGACUGCCUUACUUAACAUGCGUUAGGAGAUCCGAGACACACAAGUGUAUAAACAACUGCAGCACGAUUUGGUGGAGCAUCUAUGGAGGCUCUAGGACAAUGCCUAGCUCGAUGUGUGAUGAAUUAUGAGUUUUUAUUUGUUGAUUUUUUUAUUUAUAUUGAUUUGUUGAAUUAUUUUGAUUUGUAUUGAUCUCUAUGAUGAACUAUGUGAUAGAAAAUAAGCAUUUAUUGAAUUAUUGCCGAAGUACGUCGAAUAUGUACCGAAAUUGGUACAAAUUUAGGUUGAAAUUAGGCCAACUUACAUCGAAAAUGAGCCGAAAUCGGCGGCUGGGGGCGACCUUGGGGGGAGGGGGGCGAUUGGGAACCCGAGCCCCUCCACGUUGAUUUUUUCGCCAAAGCGCCCCAAACGGCUCUAUUUCAAGCCCCCUAUAGGGCCGAACGGCUGAAGAUGCUCUCAGACUUAGAGUGAUCACCUUAUUUUCAGAUCGUCUGCGAUCUAAGACCAGAGUUACAGUGUCAUCCCCGACCAUAACUUUAAUACAGGUUAGAAGACACAAUGCGGCUCUCAAAAUUCAUGUAUUUAACAAUGUUCGUAAAUUUAGAAAUUCUUCAUGGAUACGACAAUAUUCAAGUAUUCCAAAAAAUGUUCAUGAGUUUUAUAAUCAUCUAUGAUUUUUAUAAAAUGGCACAAAUUUUUAAAAUUAUUCACGUAACUAAAACAGAUUGUAAUUUCAUAAAUGUUCACAAAUAUUAAAAAGUAUUCACAUAUUUUUAAAAAUGUUCACAAUUUUGAAUAGAACAUUUAAGAUUUUUAAAAAAUUCUCAAGAAUUUAAAUUAUUUUCACUAUCUUCAAAAUUAUAAAUAAAUUUGAAAAACAUUCAAAAAAUAUAUAUAAGUGAACACGAAACUAAAACAUGGAAAGUAAAGAAAAAAGAAGAAAAACUAAAUGCAACCUUUCUCAGUUAAUUCUAUUUGAAAUCUAUGUAAAACGUGAAAUCUGAGUUAAUUCCAUUUGCACAAAAUAGAAAUAAUCAUAUAGCUUAAAAAAAUGAAAUACUCAAUGAAUCAAAUAAAAAAACCAAAGUAAAAACACUAAUAACGAGCGUAUAAAUAACAAAAACAUUAAGUAGUCGGAAGAGUACAAUAUGUGGAUUAGAGCAGAACCACUAAAACCAUUUAAUUUCCAAAAAUAGCCCAUUCAUCUCAAUAAAAAAAAUGAAAGUUUUGCAUUCCCUCAACCCCGCUCUCAAUACCAUUUUUAUUGUCGGGCCCACUUUCCUCUCCCAACCAUCACCUCUUCCUACAAUACUUCUGUGUCGUCUUCCAACAAAAAAACACCUUGCCCUAUUAGGGCCUCCAAAAAGCCGUGCCAUCUUUAUCUUGUUCACUCCUCAUCUUGCAAAAUUCGUCACUUCUGCAACGUUUCAUGGCUCUUUCCCUGUCCCCAAUGCCGUCAUUGGAACCAUCUAAAAAGCCGCUGUUACCAUCCUCGCGAGCUCCGAGCCGCCUCAUCGGCCUGCUCUAGCUAGCAAACCGCCUCCCGAGCCAUGCCGUUGCAGGAUCGAGCUCCUUCCCGACAAAGAAUGGAAUACACACAUCCCCACUUUUCUUCCGAUGACCACCACAAGUCCGAAGGAGCGAGGGUUGUGAGAACAAAGACGAUGACUAUGGUCGCAGCCAGUGGCGGAGCAUGAUCCAAAUAUAAGCAGGGGCCAAAAGAGCUAGAGAGAUUAAGGUGGUCGGAAGGUUAUUAGGGAGUUUAGGCUUCGGAGGAGUAUAUCCUUGCAAUUUUUUACUUGGAAGGGGGGCCACGACCCUCCUUGUCCCGCCAACGCUUCGCCGGUGGUCGCAACAAUGGUUGAUAGCAAGUUCAAAUCCCAGCUUUGACGUUUCCCUGUCGAUGACGAGUUACCUACGACGACUUCAUCAAUGUGGAUGCUCUCCAACUUCAAUCGUAUUUUAAAUAGACCUUGUAUGUUCUCUACGUUGUAAUUCGGCCCAAGUAAAAAAAGAAAGCCCUAUUUAAGGCCCACCAUCCGCUUCACUCCCUCAGUCACUCACACUCACAGAGCACGCCCCGCUUCACUCAUUGGCCACCCCCAAAUCCCCAAACCCUCGCCGGCGCAUCCGCCGCCGACCAUGGCCGGUCCCCGGCAUUCGCCGUUCACCAACGUCGACCCCUCGACGGAGGACGAUCUGCGGAGGAAGGGCUUGGACCCGCAGGAGGUGGACCGAUCCACGGAGCAGCUACUCACCUACAUCUGCACCGAGCUCGUCCCCGCCCUCCCCGCCUCCGACGGCGUCAUCCUCAACGACGCCCACCUCCGCCCCAAAGGCAGCGUCUUUCCCCCCACGCCCGCCGACUCUCCGGCCAUCGUCGCCGCCGUCUCCACCAUCCUCGAGGCGCACACGGGGCCCAUCCCCCACGUCCGUCUCACCAGCAGCCACACGGGCGCGUACCAGGCCCAGCUCGCGCGCUGGCUCCAGCUCCUCGCCACCAGGGGCGUCCAGGAGCUCGUCCUCGUCAACCGCCCGUGGCCGCUCGACGUGCCCCUCCCGGCCGCGCUCUUCGGCAUCGCCAGCCUCGCCUGCCUCUACAUCGGCCUCUGGAAGUUCCCGGACGUGGCCGGGUCGCCGCGCAGCGCCUCCUUCCCCCGUCUCCGGGAGCUCGGCCUCUGCAGCGUCGUCGUGGAGGACGGCGACAUCGACUUCGUCGUCGCCCAGAGCCCCGUCCUGGAGACACUGAACAUCCAUGGAUCCAGCAAGGGGCUGAGACUUGGCCUCGUCAGUCAGAGCCUCCGGUGCGUCCAAAUUUGCGGCUCUGCUCUUGAGGACAUUGCCGUGGUGGAGGCUCCUCGCCUCGAGCGGCUCAUCCUGGAGGGGUUCCGGAGCAACGCCGGCGGCUUGUGCACCAGGGUCACGAUCGGCGAUGCUCCCAAGCUGCAAGCAUUAGGAAUGCUGGAGCCAGGGAACACCAUCCUAGAGAUCGGAGACACCAUCGGCAUGGUCUGUACAUACAUCUCUGGCCUGCAUGCAGUCUAACAAUUUGUUCAGUUAGCAAAAUGUCCUGCUGAUGGAUGGACGAGCGUGAUGACUAAAUGUGUGACCUUUUUUUCUUUGUUCAAAUUCAAUUGGGUUCAUCAAGGCGAGCCCAGGCAGCAUGGCCACCAGCGUCAAGUUCCUGAGUCUGAAUGUGCGUUUCGGAAACCACAGCAAUGCCAAGAUGGUUCCCUCCUUCCUCGCCUGCUUUCCCAAUUUGGAGGCACUGCACAUCAUGGUGAUUCUUUUCUUUUCAUUUCAUGUUUUCCUUACAUUCAUACCGGCCGGUUUCCACUAUGUCUUCUUAUGUGUAGAAUCUUUGUAGCUUUUGUUCACUUCAGAUGGUGUGUUUUCAACUUCUGAAUUCUGAUUGAUUAUUUGCAGCAGAUAACGUACUAUGCACUUAUCCUGAUGUCGAUUGCUUUGCUUAUUUACUUGAUGCAAACCCAUACUUUCUUGUUUUCGCAUCUCACAUCGUGGUCAUAUAUCACACUCUACUACUCCCUCCGUUCCUAAAUAUAAGUCCUUUAAGAGAUUUCACUAAGUGUCUACAUACGGAGCAAAAUGAAUGAAUCUACACUCUAAAGUAUGUCUAUAUACAUCCAUAUGUAGUCCAUUAGUGAAACCUCUAAAAAGACUUAUAUUUAGGAACGGAGGGAGUAGUUAGCAGUAUUCUUGCUGUGGAUGUUGCAAGUUGAAUGCGGUGCUCGUUUCUGACUUACUGUAUUUAAUUUACACAUGAUGCAACCUACAGUUUUUUGGAGGUCUGUGUGGAAUUUUACCAUAAUACUCUAAAAUUGUCGGGCACUUCUCCAUGGAUUAAUAGUAAGUUGUUUGACAUGGCUCACUUCUGGAACUUUAUUUUAAAGAGUAAAUCUCACAAUAUAUGCACAUGUUUUUUGAGGGUAAUAUAUGCACACAUGGUUAGGACCUCCGUCAAUGUGGAAUAUGCAUUUGGUUUCUUCAGCGGCAGCCUUGAUUGCUUGGGACCAUGUUUUAGUUACGGUCGACAAUGGUAGCAAGCACAUGAAUAGUCCACUGCCAUCUCUGGCAAUACUGUGCAACUUGUCAUGGCAUCAUUCAGACUCUGAGAGAGGCUGCGUAGCGCAUACACCAUCUCAAUUUUUGACCUUUCUCUGGUCUUUGCAGUACUAGGCUACUUGGUAGUUGUUACUUUCUGCUAAUUUCACAUGUGAAAGUAUUGAUCACUGAUUUGGAUAGCUUUGUCGAGUCAAUUUUGUGAAAUGUGAUUUCUUUCUUUAUCUAGGGAGGCUAUCAUAAGUAAUUUGGCCAUGCAUAAGGUCAUGAUAACAUGAGUACAUGACUAGGCAUAAUUGGCAAAUAUGAUAUAUAACUUCUUUCAUCAAUUACAGCUUAAAUGUCAAGCAUUCUAUUUAUUAUCAGCCAUCAGGUUUUCUCUACUCACACUACACCAACUUUGGGAAAGCAAUCCCCACCUUCAGGGCCUGUAUUUCUGUUGUGAAUUUUACAAGUGACACCCAACACCUGUUAUGGCAUAUCAGGGCCUGUAUUAUUGCUGCAUUACAGUUAUCUGGAGGUCUGUAUAGCACGCCAUUAUGCCAUAUCGAAGCUUUGCUUCGAUGUUGCAUCAGAUCAGGCAGUUGUGUCUGAUUAACUAAUUACAAAGAAGGUGUAAUGACUUAUAUCUGAAAAUUCUUCUUGAAGAAUAUAUUUGGAAAGUCGUGCAUGUGUUAGGAGAGCUACACUGCAGCUCUAAUCUGUAGCCUCACUUCUCAAUUUGUUAUACAUGAACUGUAAUAACGAGGCAACCUUAGUUGCGGUUUUCUGUAGUAAUGGACUACUUGGUACUUUGUUUAUCCCUACACAUGGUAAUCUGUAGCCUCUACGGCAUAUCUACCACAUAUCAGUGAAAUCAAGCUACUGUGUGUUACGGCAUAUGGGGUAGCAUCUAGGUAUGCCUGGUAGUAUAAUGUACAUUAUGUGAUUCACGACAUAGGUUGGGGCUUCCUUUGAGCACAAUAUCUGUCACCUUCAUCAGAUGCUUUCCCAAUUAAUAUGAGGCACUGCAUGCUAUUAAUUUGCAUUAUAUACUCAGCAUGAGUUAUCAUAGCUGAACUGUUGAGUGAUCUAAUUGAUUUUUUUCAUGCAGUCUGAAAAAGGUGAUUAUGAAGCUGGCAGUGCCAGGCUGAAUCUCAACUUUUGGAAGCUGGUCAAGCCCACUGAAAACAUCAAGUCGUGCAUCAAGGUGUUCUCUUACAAAGAAUUCCGAGGGGAGCUCGGGGAGGUUGCCUUCCUCAAGUUCUUCUUCCGGAACGCGAGGGUGCUGAGCACUGCGUCCGUCUCCAUGGCUAACCCGAGCUUCACGUCAUUCUCGAUGGAUGAGGCGACUCAUAAAGCGCAAGAAGCUUCUAAGAAGAUGGCUAGUAGUUACUGCGAAGUGGUGCUUCUCGGGAGCACAGGCCCUGAAGGAGGCAAGCCCUGGAGCUUCAAGACAGGUACCGAUUACUCCUUUGAGGACCCUUUCUCAGUGGUGCAUAUUCGCCACAAUGCUUAAUAUCUGUGGAGCAAUGGAAGUUUUUCGGAUGUGACCUAUGAAAGCCUGCCUUGUAUCUGCUUCUUCUGCUAACCUGUGUCCUGACUUGUUGGUAUUACUAUCAUAUUUAAGACUUGCGUGAAAUUCGUGGUCCGAUGUUCGGUUGCAAAAUCAGAAAUACUAUGCAGUGAUGAUAGUUUGCUUGCCGUGUAACCUGUAUCAUCAGUUUCCUACAGUAUAUACUCCUUGCAACUUUUGAGUGCAGCAGCAACAUGUUUCAACCGCCUUUUGUGCAUCCUGUUGUUCUGAUUGUCAUGCAGAUCAAUUAUCAACGAAACAUUCCAAUUAUCUUUAGGCAUGCAUUGUUAUGAUCAGAUAUAUACCUUUGCACUGCAUGGCUAAAUAUCUUUGAUCAAUAUGGCUUAAUACACCAGGAGGUACCAUUUCAUUUCAGGCAUUUUGCCUGCAUAUCUCAUUGAGAUUGUCAAUCCUAUUACUGUAGGUUAUAUUAGUUUCUCUAAAUAUGUUGUUACCUGUGGUACUCAUAUCUUUUUUAUCAUUCGGUUAGAAAUUUUCUUUGGUCUGUGUUUUCACAUUGCAUGAGAGAGGAUUUUCAGCAUCCGAGUGCCUAAGCACCCUCUAUGAACAGUAACACCAAAACAAAUAGAAAAAAAAUCGAAAAAAUCUGAAACUUUGCAAGAUCAAAGAUAAUCAAACUUUCUAGGUGCUUGCAUCUUUUAAUUCCAAAAAAAACAUUUGAGGAGUUCUACAGAGGAAAAACAUUUUAGUACUUCAAAUUUUGAGCACUUUUAGCACUGAAAUCUGAAACUUGUUUGUACACCUUUCUUUACAUGAUAUUUUGGCAUGAAAACUUGUUAGAACCUACAAAGUUUGACCAUCUAAUAUGUUGCAAAGUUUCAGUUUUUUAAACAUUUUUCCUUUUUUUUUGAUUUUACUGUUCGUAGAAGGUGUAUAGGCACCCGGGUGCUGUUACACCUUUCUCCACAUUGCAUUGCUUCUUGACUCGGCAAAGAAGAAGUGGACCGAUGUGAUGUGUAAUUUUUUUGGCCUCAAGUAUCCAUUACUUUGUGUAUGAAUCCUUUGAUGUGAUGCGUCAAUUUCACAUUGGAUUUUGCCUGCAUAUACAACAUGCACUCUUAUUGAUGUGCAUAUACAACAUGCACUCUUAUUGCAGCCGUAAAACCUAUGAAUGAUUCUGAUAUAAAUGCACCGGGGUUGGGAGCUUUAGAGCAUUUAUGUGAGGAUCUUGUGCCAUCCCCCCUUUUGCAUGANNNNNNNNNNNNNNNNNNNNNNNNNNNNNNNNNNNNNNNNNNNNNNNNNNNNNNNNNNNNNNNNNNNNNNNNNNNNNNNNNNNNNNNNNNNNNNNNNNNNCAUCCCCAACCUACACUAGAGGCUCACCAACCAAAUCUAGUUAGUUGACUGCAUAAAGAACCAUGUCCAAAAGUGGGCCACAGGUUAUCAAACAAAUUAAGUUUGUGCACUUACGCAGCUAUUAUAAAACAUAAUUUGCAUUCCAUGUAUAUUUAUCUAGUAUUGAUGUCACGUACCAUGGGUAUUUUUGGAUAUAUUUGGAAGAUAUAUUCAACCAAAUACUCACCUAAAUAUGCCAACAACUUGGAUGGACAACUUAUUCAUUUUGGUAGGAGUAUUCAUAAAUUGUCUUGAAGAUACGGGGUUAAGUAGUAUUGUUUCUGUAAAGAAAUAUAAGAGUGUCUAGAUUACUACUUUAGUGAUCUAAACGCUUAUAUUUCUUUAUGAAGGGAGUAGAUCUAGUGAUGCUCAUGAUUCUUACUAUUAUUGUUAUUGUUGUUAUUAUUAUUACAAAAAUAAUAUUACUUUUUAUAUUAUGUAUUGGAGGCUUUCAAAAAAUUGCCAAGUAAACUGGAGACAAAAAGGAAAAUCAUGGUCACACAAUCUACAUAACUAACAAAGUCUACCGCCAUGAAAAAAAUGUAGUCUACGAUUUCCAUUUAUUCUGCAAACAAAAAAGUGACACCUGAAUUAAAGUCAUGUAGCCGAAAGAAUUUAAGGAUCCAUAUGAUUGUAAUCAGUCUAGUGCGGAGAAUAAGAUUUCAUCUCAAAACAAGANNNNNNNNNNNNNNNNNNNNNNNNNNNNNNNNNNNNNNNNNNNNNNNNNNNNNNNNNNNNNNNNNNNNNNNNNNNNNNNNNNNNNNNNNNNNNNNNNNNNUCAUGCAAAAGGGGGGAUGGCACAAGAUCCUCACAUAAAUGCUCUAAAUUUACGAGCCUCACAUAAAUGCAAAAGGGGGGAUGGCACAAGAAAAUUUACGAGUUGGAGUUGGAGAUGCCCUAAUAGACAAGGAAACAUAAUUAUUAUAAAAAUUAAGAAGAAAGAACAUGUUGCGGCAUUUGAUUUAACACUUUGCAAAACAGUUUGAAAUUUGAACGAGGCGUUGUAGACCGGUCAAUAACCAAAAUACUCCGUACUUAUCUUGCCCAAAACGGGACUGUGGGUCUGUCUGCCAUAGAGAAAGUUAAGAGGCAAGCCUAUACUGACUGGUUCGGGGCUCACUUUGUCCUUUGGUAUCGCCGGAGUAUUCCCCCCUCCCCCUCCUCCUCUUUCUUCUCCGGCCGAGCGCAUCCGCAGCUCCAAGGAUGGCCGACGCCCCCGACCCUCUGGAACCCCUGGAGCCAGAUCCCGUAACAGGUAAAGCACAUGUACCAACUUUUUCCAGUAUUUGCAUCGCGCUGCCGCGCCGUCCAUCACCNNNNNNNNNNNNNNNNNNNNNNNNNNNNNNNNNNNNNNNNNNNNNNNNNNNNNNNNNNNNNNNNNNNNNNNNNNNNNNNNNNNNNNNNNNNNNNNNNNNNAUAAGUAAAUGCACGAAGAAUACCAAAUGAAGUCAGAAAUUGUUGAAAAUUUGUGAUGUGCCUUUGAAUGGUGCAUUUUGAACGCACAAAAAUUAUGGAGUUUAAAUAAGUUGAAAAAAAUGAAAUCCCUUUGUAAGAGAUGAGUUCUCGUUCGAAACUCUGAUACUUCGAGAGAGAUUGUUCGUUUUGUACACAAAGUGCAUCCAGUUUUUGUCGUAGCCCUCUCAACUUUUUAACACAUGCUAUGUGGGUGAAAUGAUGAUAGCAUGUCAACUUUCAACAUUUUCAGAGUUCAUUUGUAGUGCUUUCCAAUUUCAGGGUCAACUGGCUCAAAAAAAAAGUAAAUGCAUGAAGAAUACCAAAUGAAGUCAGAAAUAGUUAAAAUUUUGUGAUGUGCCUUUGAAUGGUGCAUUUUGAACACACAAAAAGUAUGGAGUUCAAAAAAGUUCAAAAAAAUGAAAUCCCUUUGUAAGAGAUGAGUUCUCGUUCAAAACGCUCAUACUUCGAGACAGAUUGUCCGUUUUGUACACGAAGUGCAUACAGUUUUUGUCGUAGCCCUCUCAACUUUUUAACACAUGCUAUGUGGGUNNNNNNNNNNAUGAAAUCCCUUUGUAAGAGAUGAGUUCUGGUUCGAAACCCUCAUACUUCGAGAGAGAUUGUCCGUUUUGUACACGAAGUGCAUCCAGUUUUUGUCGUAGCCCUCUCAACUUUUUAACACAUGCUAUGUGGGUGAAAUGAUGAUAGCAUGCCAACUUUCAACAUUUUCAGAGUUCAUUUGUAGUGCUUUUCAAUUUCAGGGUCAACUAGCUCAAAAACAAAUAAGUAAAUGCAUGAAGAAUACCAAAUGAAGUCAGAAAUUAUUGAAAUUUUGUGAUGUUCCUUUGAAUGGUGCAUUUUGAACACACAAAAAGUAUGGAGUUCAAAUANNNNNNNNNNNNNNNNNNNNNNNNNNNNNNNNNNNNNNNNNNNNNNNNNNNNNNNNNNNNNNNNNNNNNNNNNNNNNNNNNNNNNNNNNNNNNNNNNNNNUGCUCCGGAGGUUGGUGAUGACCUCGUCUCAGCAGGGCUCCGCCCGAGCUCCGCAGAAACGCGAUCUAGAGGAAAAACCGUGGAGGUAUGUGGUCGGGCUGCUGUGAAAAAGUCGUCUCAAAUCAGCCAUAAAACCUCCGUAUAUAUAGGUGGGAGGGAGGGGGCCUUGCCUUGGGGCUCAAAGGGGGUCGGCCGAGUCCAAGGGGGAAGGAUCCCCCCCCCAAACCGAGUUGGACUUGGUUUGGUGGGUGGGAGUCCUUCCNNNNNNNNNNGGAGGCAGCCUCAAAACCUAAAGGUUUGGCCGAAAUUGGAGGUGGAGGAGUCCUACUCCAAUCCUACUUGGAGUAGGAUUCCACCUUCCCACUUGGAAACUCUUUUCACCUUGUGUUUUUUCCUUCUCAAACCUUAUGGGCCUUAGUGGGAAUUUAUUCCAGCCCACUAGGGGCUGUUUUAUCUCUUCCCAUAGCCCAUGAGACCCCUUGGGGCGUGACACCCCUCCCGAUGGUCCCCGGCACCCCUCCCGGCACUCCCGGUACACUACCGAUGAGCCCGAAACUUUUCCGGUAAUGCACGAAAACCUUCCGGUAACCAAAUGAGGUCAUCCUAUAUAUCAAUCUUCGUUUCCGGACCAUUCCGGAAACCCUCAUGACGUCCGUGAUCUCAUCCGGGACUCCGAACAACAUUCGGUAACCAACCANNNNNNNNNNNNNNNNNNNNNNNNNNNNNNNNNNNNNNNNNNNNNNNNNNNNNNNNNNNNNNNNNNNNNNNNNNNNNNNNNNNNNNNNNNNNNNNNNNNNCUCUCGUAGAUGGACAUCACCAUGAUAGGUCUUCGUGCGCGUAGGAAAUUUUUUGUUUCCCAUGCGACGUUCCCCUACAGUGGCAUCAUGAGCUAGGUUCAUGCGUAGAUGUCUUCUAGAGUAGAACACAAAAGUUUUUGUGGGCGGUGAUGUGCGUUUUGCUUCCCUCCUUAGUCUUUUCUUGAUUCCGCGGUAUUGUUGGAUUGAAGCGGCUUGGACCGACAUUACUCGUACGCUUACGAGAGANNNNNNNNNNAUUCCUCAACAGUGGCAUCAUGAGCUAGGUUCAUGCGUAGAUGUCUUCUUGAGUAGAACACAAACGUUUUUGUGGGCGGUGAUGUGCGUUUUGCUGCCCUCCUUAGUCUUUUCUUGAUUCCGCGGUAUUAUUGGAUUGAAGCAGCUUGGACCGACAUUACUCGUACGCUUACGAGAGACUGGUUUCAUCGCUACGAGUAACCCCGUUGCUCAAAGAUGACUGGCAAGUGUCGGUUUCUCCAACUUUAGUUGAAUCGGAUUUGACCGAGGAGGUCCUUGGAUGAGGUUAAAUAGCAACUCAUAUAUCUCCGUUGUGGUGUUUGCGUAAGUAAGAUGCGAUCCUACUAGAUACCGAUGGUCACCACGUAAAACAUGCAACAACAAAAUUAGAGGACGUCUAACUUGUUUUUGCAGGGUAUGCUUGUGAUGUGAUAUGACCAACGAUGUGAUGUGAUAUAUUGGAUGUAUGAGAUGAUCAUGUUGUANNNNNNNNNNNNNNNNNNNNNNNNNNNNNNNNNNNNNNNNNNNNNNNNNNNNNNNNNNNNNNNNNNNNNNNNNNNNNNNNNNNNNNNNNNNNNNNNNNNNCUUCUUCUUCUUCUUCUUUCUUAUUUUCUUCUCCGCUUCUUCUUCAACUUCUCUUCUUCUACUUCUCCUCUUCUUCUAUUUUUCCUCUUCUUCUCCUCUCCUCCUCUUCUUAUUCUCCUUUUUCUUCUUUUCUUCUCCUCCUCUUCUUAUUUUCCUUUUUCCUAAUCUUAUUUUCUUAUUUUUGUUCAUAUUUCUUCUUCUUGUAACCCUAACCUAAUUCUAAAUAUUAGUAACCCUAAUAAUCUAGCACAAACCUAAUAACAAUAGGAAUUAAAUGACAAAAAAAUCUUUUCUUUUUCUUCUUUUCUUCCCUUUUUCUUCUUUUCUUCUCCUUUUUCUUCCUUUUUCAACUUUUUCUUCCUUUCUUCUCCUUUUUCUUCCUUUCUUCUCCUUUUUCUUCCUUUCUUCUCCUUUUUCUUCCUUUCUUCCCUUUUUCUUCCUUUCUUCUUCUUUUCUUCUCUUUUUUCUUAUUUUCUUCUCCUUUUUCUUCUUUUCUUCCCUUUUUCUUCUUUUCUUCUCCUUUUUCUUCCUUUUUCAACUUUUUCUUCCUUUCUUCUCCUUUUUCUUCCUUUCUUCUCCUUUUUCUUCCUUUCUUCUCCUUUUUCUCCCUUUCUUCUCCUUUUUAUUCCUUUCUUCUCCUUUUUCUUCCUUCCUUCUCCUUUUUCUUCCUUUCUUCCCUUUUCUUCUUUUCUUCUCCUUUUUCUUCUUAUCUUCUCCUUUUUCUUCUUUUCUUCUCCUUUUUCUUCUUUUCUUCUACCGGCCGGAGUGUUGGGGAGGACGGGGCGGGGGGCUUACCGGCCGGNNNNNNNNNNNNNNNNNNNNNNNNNNNNNNNNNNNNNNNNNNNNNNNNNNNNNNNNNNNNNNNNNNNNNNNNNNNNNNNNNNNNNNNNNNNNNNNNNNNNAUUCCUAUGACCAUGAGAUCAUAUAACUCACUGACACCGGAGGAAUGCUUUGUGUGUAUCAAACGUCGCAACGUAACUGCGUGACUAUAAAGAUGUUCUACAGGUAUCUCCGAAGGUGUUAGCUGAGUUAGUAUGGAUCAAGACUGGGAUUUGUCACUCCGUGUGACGGAGNNNNNNNNNNGAACGUCGCAACGUAACUGGGUGACUAUAAAGAUGUUCUACAGGUAUCUCCGAAGGUGUUAGUUGAGUUAGUAUGGAUCAAGACUGGGAUUUGUCACUCCGUGUGACGGAGAGGUAUCUCGGGGCCCACUCGGUAAUACAACAUCACACACAAGCCUUGCAAGCAAUGUAACUUAGUGUAAGUUGCCGGAUCUUGUAUUACAGAACGAGUAAAGAGACUUGCCGGUAAACGAGAUUGAAAUAGGUAUGCGGAUGCUGACGAUCGAAUCUCGGGCAAGUAACAUACCGAAGGACAAAGGGAAUGACAUACGGGAUUAUAUGAAUCCUUAGCACUGAGGUUCAAACGAUAAGAUCUUCGUAGAAUAUGUAGGAUCCAAUAUGGGCAUCCAGGUCCCGCUAUUGGAUAUUGACCGAGGAGUCACUCGGGUCAUGUCUACAUAGUUCUCGAACCCGCAGGGUCUGCACACUUAAGGUUCGACGUUGUUUUAUGCGUAUUUGAGUUAUAUGGUUGGUUACCGAAUGUUGUUCGGAGUCUCGGAUGAGAUCACGGACGUCNNNNNNNNNNNNNNNNNNNNNNNNNNNNNNNNNNNNNNNNNNNNNNNNNNNNNNNNNNNNNNNNNNNNNNNNNNNNNNNNNNNNNNNNNNNNNNNNNNNNGGCGAGGAAGAGCGGUCUGACCUUGCCGCCGAGGCGCCGACCUCGUACGCGACGGCCUCGUGGCUCUCGCUGGCGACCUUCAGCUGGAUCAACCCGCUCAUCACCAAGGGCUACAGCGCGGCUAUCGGCGCCCAAGAGGUCCCGCCGGUGGCGCCCUCCGAUACCGCCGNNNNNNNNNNNNNNNNNNNNNNNNNNNNNNNNNNNNNNNNNNNNNNNNNNNNNNNNNNNNNNNNNNNNNNNNNNNNNNNNNNNNNNNNNNNNNCUCUUCGUGUCCAACUGGCCGGCGCCGGGGUCCAAGCCCGGCCACCCGGUGGUCACCGCGCUGCUGCGGUCCUUCUGGCCCCAGUUCCUGCUCACCGCCGCGCUGGGCGUGGCGCACCUCUCGGUCAUGUACAUCGGCCCGUCGCUGGUCGACAGGUUCGUCCAGUUCGUUCGCGGCGGCGGAGAGAUGAAGGAGGGGCUGCGGCUGGUCGCCAUCCUCCUCGCCGGCAAGGCCGCNNNNNNNNNNNNNNNNNNNNNNNNNNNNNNNNNNNNNNNNNNNNNNNNNNNNNNNNNNNNNNNNNNNNNNNNNNNNNNNNNNNCACUACGAGUUCCAGGGGCAGAAGCUGGGGAUGCGCAUCCGUGCUGCUCUGCUCUCCGUGGUGUACCGCAAGUCGCUGCGGCUGUCCACGGGCGCGCGGCGAGCGCACGGCGCCGGCACCAUCGUCAACUACAUGGAGGUGGAUGCCGAGGAGGUGUCCACUGUCACGCACCAGCUCCACAACCUUUGGCUGAUGCCGCUGCAGAUCGCCGUCGCCCUCGCCCUGCUCUACACCCACCUCGGCCCNNNNNNNNNNNNNNNNNNNNNNNNNNNNNNNNNNNNNNNNNNNNNNNNNNNNNNNNNNNNNNNNNNNNNNNNNNNNNNNNNNNNNNNNNNNNNNNNNNNNAUCCUGUGUAUAUGGAUAAAAAUAGAGUGAGUACAUACAUUUCAGGGCUUGUGAUCAGAUAGAUACAGAAAUGUUUAGUACAGUAUGUUGUAUGAUAUUCAUGGUCUUCUACUUACAGCGAGCUCAGGGCAUGUGAAGUGCCACAUACAGGAUGUGCCAGAUACGAGGCGACCACUCUUCGAUCUGACGUAGGAGUCCAUCCGUAUUGCCUCCAAGCAAUUC